CUGAAGAAGUUGUUUCUUCGCCUUCAGGCAAUGCUAUGUAGCUUUCUGGGCUUUCAGGCAAUGCUAAGUGGCUUUCCACAGCUGAGUCUUCCUUGUUUUCAUCAGCACUCCAUGCUGCUCCAACAAUGGAGUUGUCAUCGUUGUUUUCAUUGCCACUCGAUGCUGCAGAAACAGUGGAGGUAGUGAUGGAGAGUAUGAAGAGGAGUUUUAGCAGCUUCAUGGCCAUGAAUGAAGAGAAGCUGUGAAGAGCUGGGUAGGGAAGAGGAAGUGGUGAAGCAAUAUUGAUAGGAGAUGGGUUUUUAUACUGAAAUAUGUGGGAAAAACGUUUUGUUCUGUCUCGGUAGCUUCAAUUCAUCGGACGACUUACGAAACACAGAAUAUCUGGCCCAUAAGAAGAAACCGAUUGAUUUGAAAGAAAGAAAAUUAGAAGCUUAGGUUGCGUUUGUUUUUUUAGCUUUUUGUUAAAAACUAUUUAAUUUUAGAAUUUACGUUGUUUGUUUUUUUACUUUUUCAUGACUUAUUAUAAACUUUUUACUAAAUAGAAAAAAUCAGAAUAUGUGAUUUUUUUUAAAUAGAAAAAAUAACACAAUAUUUUUUUUAUUUUUUAAUACUUAAUAGAAAUAAAAUACUAUAAAAACAAACAACUUAAUAUUUAAUACUAUUAAGUAUUAAGUUUCUAUUUAAAAUUAAGUGAAAAAACAAAUACCAUCUUAGUGUUUCUGUACCCACGUGUAGCCAAUAAUUUUGAUCUGUAAAUUAUUUUAAGUUAUAACAUGUUUUUCUCUCAUCCUUACCGGCUACACGUGGAUACAGAAACACUAAGCUUCUAAUUUUCUUUCUUUUCAAUCAAUCGGUUUCUUCUUAUGGGCCCACGUAUUCAGUGUUUCGUAAGUAGUCUGAUGAAUUGAAGCUACCGAGAAAAAACAAAAGGUUUUCACCACAUAUUUCAGUAUAAAAACCCAUCUCCUAUCAAUAUUGCUUCACCACUUCCUCUUCCCUACCCAGCUCUUCACAGCUUCUCGUCAUUCAUGGCCAUGAAGCUGCUAAAACUCCUCUUCAUACUCUUCAUCACCACCUCCACUGUUUCUGCAGCAUCGAGUGGCAAUGAAAACAACGAAGACAACUCCAUUGUUGGAGCAGCAUGGAGUGCUGAUGAAAACAAGGAAGACUCAGCUGUGGAAAGCCACUUAGCAUUGCCUGGAAGCCCAGAAAGCUACAUAGCAUUGCCUGAAGGCGAAGAAACAACUUCUUCAGAUGGGACUAGUGACUUCAUGUUUCAGAACAAGCACUUGACCUGUGAUGAGUUUCCACCGCUUUGUCGUCGGAAGUCCAGCCCUGGUCCAGAUUGCUGCAAGAAGAAAUGCGUAAACAUAGGGAAGGAUCCAAAUAACUGUGGAAAGUGCGGCCGCAAGUGCAAACACGGCGAUAUCUGCUGCCGCGGGCACUGCGUGAACCCCUCUGUCGAUCCAUUGAACUGCGGUGGGUGCGGCAAGAAGUGCAAGAAGUGGGAGACAUGUCUUUACGGGAUGUGCAGUUAUGCAUGAUUUUAUCGCUACUAAGCUUGAGUUUCUUAUUGAUUCAUAAAUGGCUUGUAUUACUUCUCAGUGAAAACAGGAUUGAUCACUAUGUAUCAUGCCUAUUAAGGCGCUCAUACCUCAUCUCCAUUGAUGAUAAAGUUCAAUUCAGUACAUUUCUCACUGAUAUAACCUGCAAAAUCCUUGAUUUAGAGGGGUGUUUGUUUUAUUUUUGGAUUUUUACAAUUUAUUUUGAGAAUUUAAUUUAUUUGAUUUUCUAUUUUUUUUUAUGAUUUAUUAUAAAUUUUUUAUUGAAAAAAAAAAUCAAAAUAUUUCACCUAUUCUAAAUAGAAAAAAUAACAUAUUAUUUUUUUUAAAUAUUUUUUAGCACUUAAUAAAAUAAAAUACUAUAAAAAUAAACAACUUAAUACUUAAUCAUUUUAAGUAUUAAAGUUUUAUUUAGAAUUAAGUAAAAAAAACAAACACCAUUUUAAUAUGGGUAUGAGACGUGCAAAUAUGCUUAAUCACUAUGAAACAUUUGUGACAAUGAUUAGAUAUUUUGGUGUUUGGACAGUUGGCAUGCAUAAAUAGCCCGAGUCUACCAUAAACGUGAGCAUAUAUAUAAUAAUUCUAGAUUUACACUUAUAUAAUCUUGAGUUGUCUAAAUAUUACACAGAUCGAGGGUUAAAAAAACAUAAGAGUUCCUAAAAGUUAUGGCAGCAGCAUCGUAUCAAUAUACUUAGGAGAAGAUUAAGUAUGUGACAUUUAAACUCUGAGGAUUAGAAAUAAGGUAAAAUAUAAAAUAAAAUAAAAUAAAAAUUUAUAUAUUUUUAAAUUACUUAAUUUUUAUAAAAAAAAUUAAUAAGUUUAAAAUAGCAUAUAAGAAUAAUUUAUUAAUUUUGUAUCCAAUUUUAAUUUUUCUUUAUUUCUUCAUUUCUUCUAUUAUUUUUCUCCACUUUAUUUUUUUAUUUGCAUUUUCCUUAAAAAAUUUUUAGAACCAAGCAUAAUGUAGGAUCCAUAGUCUUUAUUGGUAAAAAACCAUCGUAUGUAGGGAUCUUCUUUGAGAUACUAAAAAGGAAAAAGAAAAGGAUUCUUAUGCUAUAAUUAGCAAAGGGUUAAAUUAAUUAGUACCGACGUAUUAUCAAAUGAGAUAUUGACACGUGUAAAGGUUAUAAUAAAAAUUUAAACAAAACCUAUGAAAAUGAAAGGUCAAAAUCUCGUUUUGCACGUUCAACGGUCCAAAGGAAUUCUUAGGAACCCACCCAUGCGGUACAUUAAAAUUCUCCUGCGGCGAAUGAAAGUGAAAGGAGUCAAAAACAACUUAUGGAAGCCAAGGUGCAGAGUAUAAAGCAAUUGCCUCGUUGUUGAAGAAAGCAGAUCUCGUAGCCAGGCACACACCUCUCAUGAAUUCAAGCUCAAGUUUCUGUGCCCACAGGCUUUGUUAAGAAGGGUUAUACUAUAGUAGUAGUAGUGGAGGGAAUAAUUAUAUUUUGGACGUACGUAUUCCACCUAGACGAAUCUAUAAUAUAUAUAUAUAUAUAUAUAUAUAUGAUAUAUUUUUAUAAUAUGCUUAAAAAUGUGUGAAAUUGAAGGUUCAAGUGUUGUGAUAGAGAAUCCUUGUCGAUUUAAAUGUCACAUUUAUUAAAAUAGAGAAUAGAGACAAUUAAAUGACAUGGACUAACUUGUCAGAAAUUUCCAUUAGAAUUGUUCCACUAUGCCAAUUUUAUUUAAAAUUAAUUUUACAGGUUAUUAAAAUAGUAUUAUAUAUAUAUAUAUAUAUAUAUAUAUAUAUACACACACAUAUAUUAAACAAGAUUUUUUUUGAGGAAUUUAAAAUAAAAUUUAUAUAUUAAACAAGAUUUUCCUCUUUAUAUUAAUGUUUUUUAAAAUAAUACUAAAUCAACCCUUCUCUUUGAAUUUUGCAGAGGCUAACUGUGUUUGGAUCUCAAAAACUAGUACGAAAAAGAGUGUGAAACAAUCUCAAAUUAUUUUGUUUGGCUUAUUCUCGAAAAAGCCAAAGAAAAUAAAAUAUUCAUGGGAAAAAAUUAUGAAUUUUAGAUUUUUGCAUGUAGGGAAGAAAAACAAAUUCAGACAAAAAGUUCAAGUAUAUAACUCAAAAUUUUUACAACCCAAUGGAGCCUAAAUGAAUGGGGAACCAUUCAAAUAAUAGGCAUAUUUGAUAAUAUUUUUAAAAAUGGUUUUAAAAAAUAGUUUUGUAGAGAAUGAAUAUGAAAACAAAAUUUUAUUUGAAAAUUUAGAUAUGAAAAAUGAUUUUUUCAACUUAAUCAUUAUGAAUGUAUUGAAUAUUUAUAUACAAUAUAUAUGUUCUUCAUAUAUUCUCCAUAUUGAAAAACAUUUUAAAAAGUUUGUAUCAAGUUGCAAACUAUCAUGAACUAUCAUGUGACACACACAUGUAUAAAAUCCCGAUUGGAUCUUAAUGAAUAAUCUCAUAAUCACCUUGGGAUAAGAAUAUAUAUAUAUGAUUAUCUGGGUCAUGUGAUAGUUUGUAACUUGGUUCAAAUUUUCAAGUAUUUUAAAAUUUAUAAAAUAAUUUUGUAAAUUUAAAAUUUUAAAAACACUUGAAAAUCCGAAUUCUAUAAAUUUAAAAACACUUGAAAAUUGAAAUCAAGUUACAAACUAUCACAUGACUCAAAUAAUAUAAGUAUUCUUUUAUCCCAAAGUGAUUAUAGGUCAUUCAUUCAGAUCCAAUCCGGGUUGGGAAUGAAUUUUGAUACAAUUUUUAAUUAUCACAUGACUUUAUCACAAUUAUUUUUAGAUUUGAAGAUGAUUGGGGGGUCAUUAAUUUGCUCAAAUCCUAAUUAAGAUUAGGAAUUGAUUUUAAAUUGAUUUUAAUGUCAUUUGUAAAUACAUAUAUGCAUCAUUUUUGGAUCCCAAGGUAAUUGUGAGGUCAUUCACUUGUAUCCUAAUAAAAAAAUAGGAACUCAUUUGAUACCAUUUAUAGUGAAUCAUUCUUGUCUAAUUAAACAUUAUUUGCUAUUCUCAUGAUUUUAAAAUCAGUAUAUAUCAGAAUUAUCAUUGAACUUCAUCUUAAAAACUUUAGCUUUGUAAAUAGGGAUGACAAUGGGGUGAGUUUUUUCGGGUACCCGUCUCAUCCCGUCCAUAAUGGGACGGGGUUCAAUUUUAAUAAAUGAGUUUAGGAGGUGUUUGAAAAUUCUUUUUAAAACCCGGGAUAGGUUCAGGUAUUGCCUCAUCCUGCCCGUCCCGCCUUGAUUAUAUAUAAAAUUAAUUUAAUUUAAUUUUUAUUUUACUAUUUUUAAUAUAUAGAUAAUAAAAAUCAUUUUUAAUAAAAUAAAUUAUAAAAAUGUAAUAAUUUAAUUAUUUAUAAAUACAUUUAUUUUAAUGUAAUUAAAAAUUUUAAAAGUAAUUUUAAAAAAAUAAAAUUCAGAAAAAAAGUUAAACGGGAUAGGACGAGUAUAAGAAUUUAUGAGUUUAAGACCAAAAUAAUUUAUUUGUAAAAAAAAAUGAUAAGAAUAGUAUCCAUUUCAAAAUAUUUGUCAAAGUAGUCUUCUUUAUUCACGUAAGCAUCCACAUGGAUUUUAAGUGUAAAAAACUACUGUUGGUGACUAUGGUUUUAAAACUUACAGAAAUAUCCUUAAAACCACAAUUACAAACUGUGGUUUUAUAAUUUCUAUUAGAACCACAGUUACUAACUGUGGUUUUGAAAGAAGUAUCCUUAAAACCACAGUUAUAAACUGUGGUUUUAUAAUUUCCCUUAAAACCACAGUUAGUAAUUGUGGUUUUACAAUUAUUUUUUAUCCGCAUCUAUUUUAAUGGUGUUAUAAUUUUAAUAUUAUUUUUAAUUUUUUUUUAUCAAAACAACCAUAAAACCACAGUUAGUAAUUGUGGUUUUACAAUUAUUUUCAAUUCGUAUUUAUUUUAAUGGUGUUGUAAUUUUAAUAUUAUUUUUAAAAUAUUUUUUUAUCAAAAUAACCAUAAAACCACAGUUAGUAACUAUGGUUUUACAAUCCGCAGGUGUUGUAAUUUUAAUAUUAUUUUUAAAAUAUUUUUUUAUUAAAAUAUCCAUAAAACCAUAGUUACUAACUGUGGUUUUAAAAGAAGUAUCCUUAAAACCACAUUUAGUAACUGUGGUUUUACAAUUAUUUUCAAUCCGCGUCUAUUUUAAUGGUGUUGUAAUUUUAAUAUUAUUUUUAAAAUAUUAUUUUAUCAAAAUACCCAUAAAACCACAGUUACUAACUGUGGUUUUAAAAAAAGUAUCCUUAAAACCACAGUUACAAACUGUGGUUUUACAAUUUCCCUUAAAACCACAGUUAGUAAUUGUGGUUUUACAAUUAUUUUUAAUUCACACCUGUUUUAAUGGUGUUGUAAUUUUAAUAUUAUUUUUAAAAUAUUUUUUUUAUCAAAACAACCAUAAAACCAUAGUUAGUAACUGUGGUUUUACAAUUAUUUUCAAUCCGCUUCUUCACAUAUGAACUAAAGAAAAUUAUUUAUUCAUAUUAUUUUUAAAUUUUAAAAUAUCUAAAGAAAUUGUUUAUAUUAUUUUAAAAUUUUAUAUUUUCAUAUGAAAAUUAAUGCCAAUGAUUAUGAUUUUAGGUUAUUUAUUAUUAAGUAUGAUUUGAACUUAUGUCUUGGUUAAAAUGUAUAAUUUUUUAAUUAUAUGAAAGAAAAAUAAGUAAUGGUUGUAAUAGUUUAUUUAGUUAGAAUUUCUUUCAUUUAAACUUUAGGAUGCAUUUGAGUUUUAUUUGUUUAAAUUAUCAAGGAAACAUGUGAAUAACAUAACAUCACUAAUUUGAAUUAACACUUUAUAUAACCUUAAAUGUAUAAACCAAAGUAUAAUAGUUUUACAAACAUGAAAAAAGAUCUCAAUGUGUCCCACAUGAUGGAAUCUUUCUCUUUCGUUGUGAACAUCUACGGUAGAUGGCCAUAUUUGUUGUAUCCAUCUGUGCUAUCUGAAAAGUCUCCAUCUCUAUAGAUUGUGACACGUCAUCUACAUGAGCUGUCGAGUUAGAUGGAACUAAUGGAGGUAGAACUCGACGUACACGUGGAGCUCGAUGUCCUCUAGGUACCCGUACAUGUAAUCGUGCGGCAUGAGCUGUCCCCUAAAGAAAAGGUAGAGGUGUAAUGGACUCUGUAACAGGUGGAGGUGCAAUAGACUCUGUAACAGGUGAGGGUGCAAUAGACUCUGUAACAGGUGGGGGUGCAAUAGACUCUGUAAUAGGUGGGGGUGCUCCAAUGAUAUAGAUGGUUGAAUAGGGGUAAGGGUAGAUGGUAUGGUAGUCUCGGGUCGAGAUGAAUGGGCUGGUAUGGAUACAUCAAGGGGAGAAAGUGGUGACUCUAAUGAUGCAGAUGGCUGAAAUAAAGGAAAGGUAGAUGUGACUGGUGGAUGUGAGGGUUGUACCAAAGUAGAUGCCAAAGGUACAUGUCGGUGACCAGCUCGACGAUCACCUCUCCCCCGACCUCUAAUGGGUGGUACCCUAAUAGGCGUAAUCAAUGAUGGUGGUCUCAUGGAUGACCCUGAAGAUGUGGAUGGCUCAUGUGUCGAGUGUACGCGAUGGUCCUCUCCUAUAGCACGUAAAACAUCAAUAGUAAUUCGGUGAGUUUCCUAUAAAUCAUUUGAAAUAGCCAUAUGUGAUACGACGGUGAUCUGUAUAAGAAAAUGAAACAUGAGGCAUUUGCACAUAAUUUAAGUUUAACAUUCAUUAAAAAAUGGUUUUGUAUCUCAAAUGCUCUCACUAAUAACUCAGUGGCAGAAGCUGUACUAUGGAACCUCAUAUGAUCUCUAUGCAAAACAAAUGUGAUCAGGUGUCGCGUGAUACGUCGAUACCACUACAUAUAUGGAUCAUAAAAAGACAUGGUAGUAAUCUCAAGUGGUGCUGUCGCAAUAAGCUCAGAACGAGUAGCCCAAAGAGAAAUAUACUGAGCAUGGAAUGUGACCCAAUCGUACUGAUGUCGUCCUCGCCUAUCCACUAAAUGUUGCUCCAUAUCUAUCAAACAAGGUGGAUGUAUCCCUUGUUGCAUACGAAACUGGCGUAAAACUCGCUCUGGUCUAUGCCGCUUGAUAAUAUCAAAGCAAAUUAGAGGCAACAUAGUUCGCCAAAUUUCUUCAUCAGCCUGACAUAUAGCCGGAAGAUGUGCAAUCAAAUCUACUGUAUAUGGUUCCCAUAAUACCUGUAAUUUUUUUUUAAAAAAUAAUUAGUCACAUUAGUGGAAAAUAUUGCAAAGGUAAUCUUACGCAUCUACACUUUAGCUGAUCAUGUGUCUGGGCAUCCAAUUGAUCUCGAUAGAAUGUCAACACAUGUGGUGAUGGGUUAUGAGACCAAGACAGGGGUACUCUCCACUUAUGGCCCAAUGGAUCGAUUGGGAAUGCCUCAUCUGGCAAUAGAUGAUCAUGUAAACCAUCAACUACAUCAUCAUGUACAUGUGGGACUACUAUAGGCACAGGAGGACGACAGAAAACAGGUCGACCCACAUAAAGUCUCUCCCAUGACCACAACUACAAAAUCAGAUAACAUUAUCAAAAUUAGACAACUUACAACAAUAAUGUGAGUCAAUUAAUUAUAAUAGAUAGUUAUGUCGAAAUACUUGUAAUAGUGUGAUAGGUCCAGAAAUCUCUGUGGCACUAUCUAAACUCACACGACAUAGCUCUCUAUAUAGGUAUGCCAACACUGCACUACCCCAACUAUAGUGAGAAAUCUCAAUGAAGUCUCUCAACAGUGGAAGGUAACAUAACUGUACAUGUGUGCCAGUCUUGUUUGUAAACAAUGCUCCACCCAAUAGUGCUAAUAUGAAAGCAUGCGCAUAACGCUGUAAAAUAACAUCAUCGACCCCUGUUGGUGGAUAUGAGAACUGCUCACGCAACCAUCGUGCUGAUAUAGAUGACCUUCUAAUCUGAGAUGGGGGUGGGACGACACCUAAAAGCUCGGAACAUAGUAGUGACCAAUCUAUGUCACAUGUGCCAGUGAUAGGAGGCCCAUGAAUAUGUAAUCCUAGAAUCAUGGCUACAUCCUGUAAAGUAACAGUCAUCUCUCUAAUAGGUAAAUGAAAUGUGUGUGUCUCGGGUUGCCAUCGCUCAACAAGACUCGUGAUCAAUGGCCAAUCUAGUGAAAUGUGUCCGACACGAUAUACACCAUAAAAUCCAGAUUGCAUCACAUAUCACCGAAUACGAGGGUCCAUCUCCCACUCUCGCAUGAAUGUCCAUAAACGUUGUCGACAUGUCAAUACCUGAUUAAGCUACAAAAGAUACCAUUUCGAUUAAAUAAGAACUUAAUUAAGGUUUAUGAUUAUGUUUUUCUAUACAUCUAUAUUUAUAUAUACAUAUAUACCUGACCAGAAUCCACUAAUUGAGACCUAUGUCUGUCCUGUAGCGCUAAAAUAGAGCGAUCUAAUGAAUCUGGAUCGAAUCUGCCCUCUCUAUGCUCCAUUACUAUACUGUCAUAAUAAACUAAUGUUAAUAUUAUAAUUUAAACUAUUUAUUUGCAACCAAUAUCAAUAUCCAAGUACAAUAAUUUAAAAAAAAAUUGUCAAGCACUAAUGUUCACAUCCAAAUUUUAAAAAUUUCAUCAGAGUAUCUCUUAUAAAUAAGGUAUUCUCCAAAAUACAAACAACCUGAUUAAUCAAAAUAUUUAUUUGCAACCAAUAUCAAUAUCCAAGUACAAUAAUUUUUAAAAAAAUUAUCAAACACUAAUGUUCACAUCAAAAUAUUAAAAAUUUCGGCAUAGUAUCCCCUAUAAAUAGGGUAUUCUCCAAAAUACAAACAACCUGAUUAAUCAAAAUAUUCAUCUGCAACCAAUAUCAAUAUCCAAGUACAAUAAUGAAAAAAAAAUGUAAUAAUAUGAUGUUCGCAUCCAAAUAUUAAAAAUUUCGACAGAGUCUCCCCUAUAAAUAGGGUAUUCUCCAAAAUACAAACAACCUGAUUCAUCAAAAUAUUCAUAUUACAAUUUUGAAAUUAACAACAAAGUCUCUCUUAUAACAUAAGUAUUGUCCAAAAUACAAAUAACAUAAUAUCAACAUCCAAAGCCUAGCACCCAUCAUGAAGGCCCAACACCCAUGUUCUUAUUUGGACAAGAACGACAAUUGUGACCACUUUGUUUGCACAAACCACAUGUAACCGAGGUUUUAUCUUCUCUAACAUCCAUUUCAUCGUGCAAACGAGUAGAUUUAGGUCGUCCACCUGACACACGUUUCAUUGAAUCUGCAGGCACAAUAACUAGACCAACAUAUGGUGGCCACUUGUACUCAUUGUGUAUGGGGUUAAACAGUGGUGCCCAAGUGCUAAAGUACGAUUGUAUAGUAUAAUAAUGUUGAACAAACGAUCUAAAAUCAAUUGAACGAAAAUGACAUGCCGCUAGAAUAUGACUACAUGGGAAUCCAUAUAUGAAUGUUUUGCCACAUGUGCAUCUAUGCUCACGUAGGUUAACACGAUGUGUUCUUCCACCAGAUGAUGUCUUUUUACUACCCCUACUGGCCUUCACAUGAAACAGUCCUUGGAAGUGAUCAUACAAAACAACCUCAUGAGAACCUGCCUUAACAACAUUUGCAUUAAUCUUAGCAUCAACAUAAGGAGUGUAUUGUUCACCUGAAGCAAGUCGACUAGCACCAUGUUCUCUUCUUACAGCAAAGUAACUAUUAACUUGAUAGAAUGUCAAUUGAACAAAUGCGAUGAUAGGGAAACUUCGUGCCCUUUUAAGCACACUAUUGAACACUUCUGACAUGUUCGUAGUCAUUAUGCCAUAUCAUUGACCUCCAUCAUGUGAUAAUGCCCAUUUCUCAAAGGGAAUAGCCUCCAACCAGUUGAGUACGUCUUGAUUGAUUCUCCCAAUUGUCUCCAUAUGCAUGUUGAAUUUUUCUACCUUAGUUUCUAAGGCGGCUCUGCAUAAAAGUUGUUUCAAGCAUUUGUCCUUAAAGUGAGUCAUAAAGUUGCUAGCAAGAUGGCGCUUACAAAUUCGAUGAUAUGCAUUUGGCUCAGACCAACCAAGAUAAACAUUAGCAAACGCAGCCAUAAUGCCCGGAUGACGAUCAUAGAUAACACAAAGACCCCUCCUUUGAGUUACUCGAUUUCUAAUACAUGCCAAAAACCAUCCCUAACUAUCAACAUUUUCACCCUCAGUUAAUGCAAAAGCAAGAGGAAACAAUUGAUUAUUUCCAUCACAGCCCAUGACAAUCAUUAUAGUGCCCUUAUACUUCCCAUACAAGUGUGCACCAUCAAUAGUGAACACAUGACGACAAUGCUUGAAGCCCUCUAUGGAAGGAUGAAAUGCCCAAAAGACUCGCUGAAAUACCUCUUCAUUUCGCAUAUUUCCUGGGAAUGUUUUAGAAAUUACAACACAUCCUGGAUUGGUUUGCUCUAAGGCACCAAAAAAAUGUGGCAGUUUAGCGUAUGAUUUAUAAAAAUCACCAAAAAAAUUAGUUACUGCUUUACGCUUGCCUUUCGAAGCCUUAGUGUAUGAGAUAUGGUACCCGAAUCUUUCUACAACACUUGCUUGAAUGGCAGCCACUGAAAGUGUGAAUUGUGUCUUAAUCAUUUCCUCUAUAUGGGCGGCUAUCAGGUUUGAGUCUAACUGAUGAUGAUCUUGGUUCAUGCAAGGAUUGACACAUGUGUGUGGGCCACUAUAUUUGUUGAUCUCAAAUAAAGAUGUCCCUUUAACAACCGUAGCACGAAGUCUCCAGGGACAUUGAGACCAUUCAGCUUUCUUGUAUCUUAGGACCAACAAUUUCUUUGUGGAUGACAAAACGAUUUACUCUUGGUGUGAAUUAAUAGAGUACAUCUUUACAGCAUGUUGCAAAUCUCAUUUGGAAUUAAAUAUUUGUCCAACUAUGAACUCUCCAAUUGGAUGUCCCAUAAGAGUGUUUCCCCAUGGGGUCCAUUCACUUGACACAACAUGACCAAUGUUUUCAACAUUUUCAAACUGUGGUGAUGGUGCCAAAUGAUAUUGCAUUGGAGAUAAUUCAAUUGGGUCAUCUAAAUCCUUUGUAUCUGGAUUGUUUGACAAGUUACAUCCUUCCCCAUCCACAACCACAUAUCUCAUUUGUUCUCUUUCAAUUGCCUCAUGAACAGCUAAAAAAGGCGAGCUACCUUCCCUAUUUUGAUUAUCAUCAUUAUGAACAUCCUCGGCUCCUACACUGUCAUCAUCACAUCGUCUUCCUUCUUCGUCUUCCUCAUCCUCUUCUGAUCUAUGCUUAAAAGUAAAUGAAUUUUGAACAUUACUAGUACCAUCAUUUUCACCAAGUAACAAAGGCAUGCAAUUACCAAUUGGUGAAUUCAUUUGUAAGUCAAUAGGUACUUGUUCAACAAAUAACUCAACUUCAUCCAUCCCAAAUGUGUUAUGCAUUUCUAACAUUCGAGCUACACCACUAUCAUUCUUUACUAGGCAAGGUUGGAAUUUAUUCACUUUUUUCAUAGGAUACUUACAACUAAGUAUUAAUCGAAAAUGUUCUUUAUUGAUGUCAGUGACCGAGUAUAUCAUUUCCAACAGUUGUUCAUAUGUUGUCCCAAGAGGCACAUCAAUAGGUUCAACCACAACUCUAUCCCCAACAUAAUCAACAUCGUUUUGUGUUCUCACCAUUUUCCCAUUACAAAAACAAACUAUUGCCACCCAUAAAUUAGACAUAGUUCACCUAUAGAAGAAGCCAAAAAAAUCAAAUCAAUUUCAUUUUUAACCACAAAAUUACACAAUAUAAAUUAUUGCUAAUAACAUCAAUUUGUAAUGAAAUAACAAAUAACAAUAAUAGGGUAUGUUAUUAACAAUAAUCAAAUAACAAAUAACACCUUAAUAUCCAAACAAUUCAAUGUUUUUUAUUAAUAAUAUUUUCUUAUUAUUUAUUACCAUUAAAAUUGAAUAAAAGGUUGUUAUUUUUCCAUUAACAAUUAAAAUGUCUUUGUUUAAGCUACCCAAAUUAAGUGGGAAAUUUUUUUAAAUUUGUUCAAAAUUUGAUUUUAUAUGAGUUUCAAAAAUGAAUGUAAUGUGUACAUAUUCAACAUAAUUAAUAGUUACGACUAUAAAUAUUUUAAUAUUUUCCAUUAAAAUAAUUAAAAAAGAGAAAGCGGAAUAGUUAAUACACUUUUGCUUAUGUUUGGUUAAUUUUUAAAUUUUUUUAAUUUAAUUAAAUUUCUACAAUUUAUAAUUUAAUAAGUUAAAUUUGAAGUAAAAACUAAUAUUUUCUAUAUAUUAAAUUUGGUUUUAGUGUUUUAUUUAUUUAUUUAUAACUAUUGAGUUCUUCAAAUAUUUUAUAAUCUUCAGAAGUCUAUCUCGAUUUUAUAGAUUUUUCCCUCUAUGGCCUAAAAUAUUUAUAAAAAUAUUCUAAAUAAAUUUCCUUAUUCUAUGAGGAAAUAUGAUAUCACAAUAAUAAAUUAACUUAGAAAAUACUUUAUACAAUAUUCUUUACAAAAAAGAAUUUAUAAUAAUUGAGAAUUUGAUACACUUUCUAAUAUAUGAUACAAUUCAAAAGCUAACCAAUAAUUACAAGCAAUUUUCAUGGUUUGGAGAUCCAGUCUAGGUUCUACAUGUCUUUUUACAGUUUUAUAAAGUUGUUAGCAUUUGUAUAGGUGCUAUUAAAUGUUCCACAUGCCAUUAAAUGAUUCGAGUUCUAGGAGCCUUAGAGUUUGGUCAUGAUUCGAGUUCUAGGAGCCCUAUAAUGGGGAAGAGAUUGUUAUAUGCACAAUAGUAUUAUCUUUAUAAAAAUGAUGAUUGAAAAAUGACACACUCAAAUCUCCUUGAUCCUAAUAAUUUUAAAAUAUAUAUAUAUAUAUAUAUAUAUAAUAAUAAUAAUAAUAAAAAGUAUAUAUUUUUUUAGAGGAGAAAAAGAAACAAAAAUAAAUUUAAUAAUCACUUCCAAUUUUAUAAAGUUAAUAAAUUAUGAAAACAAAUUUAAAAAUAAUUUGAAAAACUUAAGCAUUUGUAAUGAUGGUUUCUCGAUAAAUCUAGUAAUUAUAAUAAAUAAGAAGAUAAAAUAUUUUAAUAAUAAACAAGUAAUUAUAACUCAUAACCCUAAGGAUUUAUUAGGAAGUGUUUUGAAAAUAGUUUUAAAUUUGAUUCUAUUUGUAAUAUUUUUUUAGAAUAAAAAUACAUAUGGGAAGAUUUUGGACAUGUUUUCUUGUUUUUCAAAUAUUUAUUAAAAAUUCAAAUAUUUAUUAAAAAUAUAUUUUAUUUAUAAUAUUUUAUCUAUCAAAAACUUGUGUUUGAAAACAAUUAAUAACUAUAGACAAUUUGAUAUUAAUUUUUUAGUUUUCAUAAUAAUAAUAAUAAUAAUAAUAAUAAUAAUAAUAAUAAGUGAAAUAUAUAUAUAUAUUCCAUUGUGUUUUUUUAUUUAUUUUAAUUUUCUUCUAUUUUUUAUUUCUUUUUGUUCCCACUCGAUUUUAAAAUAAGUGGAUUAUGAUUAAUUUUUAAUUUUUUAUUAAAAAAAAGGAAAAUAAACAAGUGGAUUAUGAUUAAAUUUUUAUUUAUUAUUUAAAAAAGGAAAACAAACAAGUGGAUUUUUAAUUUUUUAUUAAAAAAAGGAAAAUAAACAAAUGGAUUGUGAUUAAUUUUUAAUUUUUUAUUCAAAAAAGGAAAAUAAACUAGUGGAUUUUUAAUUUUUUAUUAAAAAAGGAAAAUAAACAAGUGGAUUGUGAUUAAUUUUUAAUUUUUUAUUAAAAAAGGAAAAUAAAAAAUGAUUAAACAAAUAAUUUUUAUAUUAAAAAAUUCAAUCAGUUUUCAAAAAUUUAAAAUUAUAAAAAUUAAUUCAAAAAUAAUUAUCAAAUAUCCCUCAAAUAAAGUUAAAAUAAUUUCUUUAUUCGUUCCAAACCAUCCUUUCCGACAGCCCAAGAAAGUUAAAAUAAUUUUUUUAUGCGUUCCAAACCAUCCUUUCCAAACCAUCCUUUCCGGCAGCCCAAGAAAGUUAAAAUAAUUUUUUUAUGCGUUCAGCCCUUCCUACCCUCCUUCUCCUCUUUCUAUCAUCAAAACUAAAAAAUUCCAAGCUUCAACGCAGAGAUGAGAGAGGUUAAAGAGAUGAGAAAUCCACAAUAUUCCCAUGCUAUAAAAGGCCAGGCAGGCCAAGCGAGCCAAGGGCCUAUUCCACCAACAUAUAGGUGAGUGGGGUGCCAUACCCUCCUCCUCACUCCGGCAAAACCUUUGUUUCCAAAAACUAUUAUUAUGAGGACUCCUUGUCUUCAUCAUGGGGAUUCAGUGAUCCCGAGAUCAAGAGAAGGAAGAGGAUCGCGUUGUAUAAGGCUUAUGGCGUCGAGGGAAAGAUGAAGGCCUCCUUGAGAGGUGGGUUUUGUUGGGUUAAGAACAGAGCUAGAAGAUUUUAUUUAUUUUUAUUAAAUUGGGCAAAAUCAAAGAUUUUGCAUUUGGGUAAAAAAUUUGUUAUUUUUGCAUGACCUGCACUUCUUCUUCCUCUUCGAACCCUAACCCACCAUUGCCCAAAUUUGAAAUCUACCCAAACCCCCCAAUGUACAGAAUACAAUUUCAUUUAAUUUUUCAUUUUCCUCUGUUUGGUUAGUAAGAAAGCUAAGGAAAAUGACGGAAAAAAAAACUUACCUAGUAGAUGUUGCUAGUGGAGCUACUGGUGGGAGCCGUAGAUGGUGGGAGCCGCAGGUGGUGGGAGCCGCAGACGGUGAGGAGAGAUGGUGGGAGCUGCAGAGAAGAGAAAAUAAUAAUUAGGGUUUUUGUUUAAUGAUUUCAAAUGAAAAAAUUGGGUCUUCAGAGUAGUGGAUUGCUGAUGUGGAUUCAAAAGACUACUUUGACAAAUAGUUCAGGUGGUGAGAGCCGCAGACGGUGAGGAGAGAUGGUGGGAGCUGCAGAGAAGAGAAAAUAAUAGUUAGGGUUUUUGUUGAAUGAUUUCAAAUGAAAAAAUUGGGUCUUCAGAGUAGUGGAUUGCUGAUGUGGAUUCAAAAGACUACUUUGACAAAUAGUUUGAAAGAUGUAUUAAUUUGGUUUUUUUUUUCUAGUAAACAUUACUUUGACUGCAAACUCAGAAUUUAUCAUACCUGCCCUACCUUGUUUAAUUUUUUAAAUGGGAUGGGGAUAAGAAUUAUUUUGAAUAAAUAGGACGGGGUUAGGAUGAGGACGACCGUCCCGAACCUGUCCCAUUGCCAUCUCUACUUGUAAAGGGAAGACAUGGAGCCACCAACUCUCCGUCCCCAUCAAAAAUUUGCAAACUAACCACAUGGCCACAAAACAACCCCACAGUCUCUACACUUAUCCACAAAAUGAGAAUUGGUGGACAGUACUAAAUAUUAUUGAUCCACUUUACGGUAGAACGUGACUGGUCAGUGAAAGUUUCUGGUCCGAGCUUCACAUGGAGCGUAGUAGCCAAACGCUGGCCAACCUUUUGGGAAAUUAUAUGAUUUUAUGCUCCAAGUCAACACGUAAAGAAGACGUAGAUGGAAUCAUAGGCCAAGUGCUUUCAUAACGAAUUCAAAGGAUGGAAAAAACCGUAACUCAGUAAUUGACCAACAUGGGCUGUUGGGUUUGAUUUUGUCACCUAAAUGAGUCUGCGUACACUUGUUUUGACAAUACACGUUUUGAGUUCCGUCACACAUCGCCCUUUCCACCUGGCUACAAUCAAUAUUAUCCCUUUCCCAUUUGUCUUAGAACCUUGGGACCUUAGAAGUUUCCAUGUUGAAUGUCAUUGCCUAAGAGAAUAAUAUUGUAUUCACAUUGUUUAUUAUCAAUUUAAAGUAAGAGAAAAUGUGAUAUAUGUAAUAGACUCUUCUUAAAUUAUUAAUAUAAUUAAUUAGUGGAUGCAAUACAGAGAGAUAGACAUAUGUUAUGAACUCCUUCUGAUUGAAUAUAUGUUAUAUACAUUUUAACGGGAUGGAUGAUAUAUCAUGGAAGCAAAACGAAAAAUGAGACUUGGUUCAAUCAUUUUUUAAUUGUAGGUAUAAUUGUUCGACAGAUGUUAUGUAGAGAGAGAAAAAUAAGUAGAUAUCAUAUAAGGAAAGCCGGAGAAUAUAUAACUAAGAACUCUUCUUAACCGAGUGUAUAUAUAUAUUGGUUCCUAAUUUUUUUUCUUUUACAUCAUUGGAUGUUGGAGUAAUCGGAUGGAAAGUUAGAAACAUAUGUACAACCAUUCAAGGUACCUUAUGGGAUAGGAAUGAAGCCAUUGGCUCUGCCUUGUCUCAAGAGGGAAAGUUCCUGUGGAAGCUUGCUGCUAAUGCACUAAGCAAUAAUCAUUUUCAGUAUGAGUACCAUCAAUUUUUUGUAGUGCUUCUCCUUUUCUCCAAUUUCCCUCUCCCAUUGGAAAUCUGGAAGGCCUAUCUCCUAUUUAAUUUAAAUAAUUUCCAAAUGGUGAUUGAUGAUGACCAUCCCAUUAGCCACAAAUCUUACAUAUUCCCAUAUAUAAAUCCUAAGCCAGUUGAAGUGUUGAAUAUGAAUGAAUUUAAAAAAUAAGUGUUCUUUGUUUCAUAUCUCAUUCAAUCAUGUAAUCCCUUCUAUAAUUAGUGGGGAUGCCUAUUUUGAUCAGUGAGUUGCUAUUUGUUUUUCAAUUUGAAUAUCGAACAAAAAUCACUAUAAAAAUAUGAUUUAGGUCAUGUUUGGUGACAAUAUUAGAAAAAGAUUUUCAAUUCUCCAAAAUAAAAAAUAAAAAAGAUAGGUAAGAAAACAAAUUUUUAAAUAAUAUUUAUACAAAUAUGAUGAAGAAUAAUUAAAAAUAAAUUAUUACAUAUAAAAAUUAUUUUUAGACAUAUAAAAUAAAUUAAGAACAUUUUAGGUUUUUAAAUAAAUUUUUAUUCUAAGAAACAUAAAAAAAAAAAAAACAAUUUUCAAAAGUUGAUUUUUAAAACACUUUUCAUACAUAAUCUUAGAUUUUAAAUUUAAGAUAAAAUUUAGAAUUUUUAACUUAUUUUUUAUUAAAAAAAAAAAUCAUUGUGACAAACCCUACAUCAGCCUCUUUGAUCAACCCAUCUAGCCAAAAAUAAAAAUAAAAAUAAAAAUAGGAAGUAAAUUUUUUUAUUUUUAUUUUACACUCUUCAAAUAAUUUCUUUAACUUAUAUCUAAACUUAUUUCUUUGUACUCAAUUUUAUAUUUUUGUACUUCAAUCGACAUAUUUCUAUAAUCAUUUAAGAUUCAGAUUUAAUCAUACACUUAAACAUGGUUAUGGAACAUAAAAUUUGUUUUAAAUUUAAAUUUUUAAAAUUAAAAUUUCACAAAUAAAAGCGAAUAUGUCUUUUGAAGUAGGCACACACAAAAAAUAUAGAUCCAUAAUAUCAUAGAUAUACAAAUUAGGCAAAUAUUUUUUUUUCUAAAAAUAAAUGGCAUACUUUUACCAAAUGGAACAUUCCAAUUUCUUCUAUAAAAUAUAGUCGAUUCUCUUACACUAUUCAAAAUUAAAGAUAUUUUACUGUAAUGUUUCACGCUUGCUUGAGAUUGGAUCAAUUUUUUACUUACACGUUUUUUUUUCAAAGAUGCCCUUAGAUUAAUGUAAAAUGUCAACUGCGCAGACAUUCCUGUUAACAAAAGUCAAGAAGAUAGGCUAGCUGAGAACAAGUGCGUCCGUAAUGGUUUCUAAGACUUAUUGUUCAGAUAAAAGGAGACAGACACACGGCGUGUAAUGGCGAAUUGGGCACACCAGAUUUGUAAUCCUGAUGCCUAACACCAAGUUCUGUGUUGACCGAUUGUACUUGUCAAAUGGAUGUACGUCGGUAUGAGAGAUGUUUUCAAAAAUAAUUUUGAGAAACAAAAUUUUAGAAUAAUUUUUAAAUACUGUGCUAUAAUAUUUUAUAAAAUAGAAAUUUGUUUAGAAACCCUAAAAUAUUUUUACUUCCGAUGCAUGUAACACUUAAACUUUUUUAUUAAAAUAAUUAUUUUUAAAUAUUAAAAAGAUUAAAAAUAUUUUCUAAAAUCAAUAUCAAAUAUAUUUUAAAUGUAUUUUAAAAUAUAAUUUUAUAUGUAAUAUUUUAUGUUUUUAUCAUUAGUAUUUAUAUAAUUACUUUUAAAAUAGUUUUUAAAAAAUAAAUAAAAAUAAUUAAAAUAUGUUAUUUAAAAAUACCUUAUAAAAAAACUCUGUCCUAUUUUCUGAUUAUGAAAUAUGAUUUUUUUUUUCAUUAAAGAAUAGAAAAUUAUUCUAUAAACAUAGUUAACAAAGUGGUCUGAAUUCCCAGAUUGUCUCCCUAUUUUGGAAUUAUGAUGGGCGGCCUUUCUGUGGCAGCAGGAGGCUCAGUGGGCGGAAUGGAGCCCAUUUUGCAAGCAGGCCACAAAGUCGUUUGCUUUUCGUGAUUGCACUAGAAAUUUCUUUUGAUUUGAUAGCAAGAAAUCAUCAUGAGAAUAACGUUUUGGAAAAUUAGACAUUUGUGAAGAUAUAAAUAUAUAAAAUUUUAUCAGAAAUUGGUAGUUAAAAAAUGUUAGUAAAAAAAGGAGGGGAAAAUAUUGAUGGAGUUGAAGACGACCGAAGCUGGCCUAAUUUCCCAAGUCUUCAAAUUCUAUGCAACUUGAGUCUCUCCAAAACUUAGAAUUUAAAAAUUCGUCCCAAGCCUAACUUUUGUUUACUUAAUUAAUCAAAUGUCUGCCGUGCUAUUAGACCAUCCAACCUCCAUCCUCCCUAUAAAUACCCUCAAAUCUUCAAACCAAGACCAUUCACAUUUUCACAUCUUCCCUCACCCACCUCCUCUUCUCUUCUUCGUCUCAAGCCUCUCCCCAACAUGAAGUCCCUAAAGCUCGUUAUUCUCAUGCUGGCCCUGCUCUUGGUCAUGGCUGCUGUACGUUCAGUCUCAUCAGCUGAAGAAGAAGACUUCAUGUUUGAUCUAGACCAGGAUGACAGCAUCGCUGCUGAAGCUGAAAAUUCUGAUCAACUUCCAUUACUUGAAAGCGAGCAGCCGAUAUCGCUUAGGGGGACUAGCCGCUUUCUGACGGAGGCGGCCCGGAUCAAGGUGACGUGCGACAAGUACCCUACAGUAUGCCGAGCCAAGGGAAGUGCAGGGAAGUACUGCUGCAAGAAGAAGUGUGUGAAUGUGAGGACGGACAGGCUCAACUGUGGGGCGUGUGGGAAGAAGUGUAGGUACUCUGAGAUUUGCUGCAAAGGGGAGUGCGUCAACCCUUCUUCAGACAGGAGGAAUUGUGGGGGCUGCGGCAAGAAGUGUAAGAAAGGGAGUCUCUGCGUGCAUGGGAUGUGCAGCUACUCGUAGAUUUCUGAGCAUUGUUGCUGUACAUGGGAAAAUUUCUAUAUUCAUGUAACUAUGGCGAGCCAUCACCAUUUGAUGGGCUUGCAAAUCCGAGUUUUUUCAUUUUUUUCUGAUUCUUCAUGAGGUCUUUACUGGUAUAGAUGACAACAAUGAGCCAGUUCACAGUGCCUGAAAUCCAAGACACUUCUUCUCUACCGGACUGGCCGCUUCCUGCUCAUUACUGAGCAAGGAGAGAAGGAUUGCAGGAACUGUGGAUGGAGUGUGUAGUUACAAAUAAUAAUUUCAUGUACACUUCCUAUGAUGGAAAGCGGAUCGUGUUGAUGAUUCGUUCAAUAAAAGGAACAUAUGGGAUAUGCUAUUAUCCUCCAUUGUUGAAGUAUGAUAUCUUGCUUUUGUUGGCUAUAAAAAAUUACUCAACAGAAAUCAGAGAUAAUAAUACAAAUUAUAAAGAUACAAUGCAAAUCUCUUAAUCUUCUUAAGAACAUAAAGAUUAAAUAAUCCACCAAUCGAGGUACACAUAAGUUUUAACCUAAUUGGAUAUGAUCAUAUCCACGAUCAUUCUAUUGUAAUAAAAGAAAUAUUAUAAAGAACAUGAUAAGAUAUAAUGAUUAAAUUUCAAAAUAUCUUACAUUCUUUUUCAAAAUAUAUAUAUUUUUUUAUUAAACUAAAUAUCCCUUCUUCCUCACCUAAAAUAUUUAUAGAUAUUCUUAAUAAAUUUUUAUUUUAUAAAAGUUCCAUUAUGAUGAUAUAUGAAUUUAAAAUAUGUUUUUUUUUAAUGAUAUUAGGAAUUCGUGACAUUUUUAAGUGCAAAACAAAUGUACCCUUGACUUCUAUUCCCUUUCUAUGUAUUUGCGUAUAUCAUCCUCUAAGUAAUUAAGUACAAUAUUUGUUCAGCCUAUUGUUUGUAUGGGACGUCCAAAUUAUAUGAAUGAAACUGUAGCUCCUUUGGCUUUUAGCUGAUGCAGAUUGCCAGUACUAUUUGUUGUAAUUAGAAUUACCUAGAAAUUGAGAACACUAUUGUAAAAUACCAAAAUUACAUGAAUAUUGGUUAAAUAGUAAAAACAUACAUCAUUAUUGUAUGUUUGGUUUAUGCGAUUUGUGCGCAUAUCAUUCUCUUUAAACAAAUUGUCGGGUUACAACAAUAUGUUCGAAAAUAGAUCAUCCAAAUGAGAGUUCUUAGGAUAGGUUAAUUGUGGAAUGUGACGACAAAUAUUAUGAAAGAUUUUAUUUACUCUCACUAAAUAUGAAUUGACUUUUGAUAAGAUGAUCAAAAAUUGAUUCACUGAUCAGUAUUGUAUAAUAUACUAAUAUAUUAUUAUCUUAUUUGUUAAAACUCACGUGCAACCCUAUAGAAGCUGGCUCAUGAGACAAAAUCAUGACUAAGCUUUAAUAUAAAUGUAACUAUGUAAGUAACUAGGGACAUUACCCAUAAGAAGUAAUUAGCAUGAUACACAUAAUUGUUCAUUACCAAGGAUUUAAGCAUGUGGGUGAUCACAUAAUAAGUUAUAAAGUAAAGUCGUGUCACUCAUACAUCAUACAAUUAGCUUAACAAUCACAUAACAUAAUUAAUUUAACAGCUGUCAUGUCUUUAUUCCAUUGGACAUUCUCUUCUCCAAAGAGAAGCACUUUGAUAUGUCUUUCUUUAAUUUUCUCUCUUCCUAAUGAUGAAAUUUGAAGUCAUGUUGAUGAAAAUAGAAAGGAAGAAAGGGAUUCUUCUAUCUAUAAUCCAACUAGAAUAUUGAAGUAAAAUUUUUGUGCAAUGUGGGUCAAAUUGGGCAUGCGCUAGAGGUGAUACAUGUUAUAUACCCCCAUGAAUUCAAGUUUAAGUUUCCCUUCCAACAAAUUUCAUUAAGAAUAGUUUUAUUCAAGUAGUGAAAUAUUGGAAGUACAUUCAAUAUUUUCAAAUACUAUAUAAUUAAACAUGUGAGAUAUUAUUAAAAUAUGCACUAGGUAGUGGCAUAUGUGCAUUUCAAUUUCAAUAAUAUUAAUAUGAUUGAUAUAUGCUAUGCUUAUUAUUGCGAUUGCUUAGUAAAACAUGUUAUAACUUGAAAUAAUUUAUAGAUCAAAAUUACUGGCUACACGUGGAUACAAAAACAGUAAGCUUCUAAUUUUCUUUCUUUUGAAUCAAUCAGUGUCUUUUUAUGGGUCAGAUAUUCAGUGUUUCGAGACUGUGACCCAUUUCACCUUUUGAUUAGAGCAGUACCAUAACUAUAUCCAUAUCCUAACUUUGUAGACUUGAUGACCUACCCAUUUUGAGUCUGACAUGACACCACACCUUGGUACCAUUAUAUGACCUUACCAUUUUUGUUCACCUUAGCAUACUACAGUACCAUUGCUUAUUCUUUCCAUCCUUUAUUUGAUCUAACUAGGUAGAGUUUGAGAUGGUUAGACCUGAGGUGAGCUCUGCAUGAUGAUAAAUGGAUCAUGAUGAUAGCGUGGUUUGACUGCUUGAUGAUAUUGCUGAGGCAGAGGGGUUAUCAUGGAGCAUCCAUAUUUGAGCCAUUGCACAUGACUUCAGAGAGUCGAGAUGACUAAAGAUGGUGAUUUUAUGAGACGAUGGUGAAUGACUUAUGAUGAUAGAGUGAGGUGAUUGUCAGAGGGCUUUAAUGAUUAUCACAGAGCAUCGGUGGGAGCUUUCACAUGAUUGCAAAGAAGUUGACAUGGUUGUGUUUGAUAGAUGUUAGUAUUUGGUAUUGACCAUGUGAUAUAUUGAGGGUGUGAUGUAUGUGGUUGUGGUUAAAUAAUGGGUGGUCAUUGUUUCAUGAGCUCAUUUACCCUAUUUACUUUAUCAUCCUCACAUAUAGAGUUACAUGUUGCUAGCCCUUUGAGCCUCACACGAGCAACAUAACCUUUUAUUUCAUCACUUCAUUUACCUAUUACACCAGGUUGGGGACCCUAUAGUGUUUGCAUGCUUUGAUUAAAUACAUCAUGAGUUCUAGACCUGACAUACAUAUUCAGGCCUCAUCUCUCACCCUUCAUUGUGAUAUUUUCCAUUUUGACAUCAUCUCAUCACUUUUUUCGGCAUCACAUAUCACCACUUGUGAUAUUCAUUAUCUAUCUUUUCUCUAAUCAUUGUUUAAUCAACAUUAUCCUUGUUUCACCUUGAGUGGUGGUUUUUCACACAUCACUGCAUGGAGGAUUGUCACAUUCUUUUCCCCCGUUCACCCCAUGGGCAGUAGUUUAGAGGUCUUAGUUUGAGAUGUUGUCUUAUUAGUGAGGAUUCAUGUUAUAUCUGUAUGUGGAGAUGGUUUGAUCAUUUGGGUAUGUAUUUUCAUUGGAGGUCAUUCAUUAUUGAUCAGAGUAUGCACAAAAAAAAAAAAAAAAAAACAAAACAAAGAAUAUAAAAGAUAAUGCAUUUUUCAUUGUACCGUUUUCCAUUGACUACAUGUAUGGAUGUGCUGGUUUGCUUCAUUGAGUUUGUGUGUUAAAGAUAGUUCAUAUGGGAGUUUCUUUUUGAGAUUUUAUCUUAGUAUAUAUUUGGGUGAGAGUAUGAGUCGUCCAUUCGAUUUUCGUGAGAGGCGAGCAACCUUUUUUUAGGAUUUUUGGAUUUUUGCCUUAUUCGUCAUUGCAUCCAUUUUUAUGUGACUACUUUCCAUGUUUAGAUGCAGGUUGACCAUCACUCACUUUCCUAUCUUUUUGUCUUCUUCUAUCUUUAUUUUAUUCCUUCAUUUCACUCUACCUCAUCUGAUUUCUUUCUUUUAUCAUCCUGCUUGAUGUUUGACUUGGGUUUUAUAGGACCUCAGGCGCUAUCAACUCUCCUAAAAGCAAUUGCUUGUAGGAAAGGUGCAUACCAUAGCCUUAUAGUGCAUUCACCUAAGCGCCCAUGGGCGAACACAAGGGGAGUUGAUGGACGCGGCCAACCCUCCGAUGUGCCAACAAUCUCCCCCCCAGCGACACCCCUAGGGUUCAAACCCAUGACCUCGGCUCUGAUACCACUUGUAGGACCUCAGGCGCUACCAACUCUCCUAAAAGCAAUUGUUUGUAGGAAAGGUGCAUACCCUAACCUUAUAGUGCAUUCACCCAAGCGCCCACAGGCGAACACAAGGGGAGUUGAUGGAUGCGGCCAACCCUUCGAUCUGCCAACAGGUUCAAUAUCCACACUUCAUUCUUGCUUAUAUGAUAUGUCAUUCAUUUAUUAUCAUUUUUCAUGUUGGAAUCUUUAUGUCCGCAACUCAUAAUGUUUUAUACGCAUUGCUUCUCAUGCAUGAGGGGUAUAGGGAUUAUAUCAUUGGGAUUAUUGAGCCUAGUUUCCUCUUGUUUCUUUCACCCUCUUACCUUAGUGUAGACCCUCCAUUUUAUUCUCCUAGCACAUGUCCUAUUAGGUAUUUGUUCGAUACUUUACAACAAUUUCCUGGUAGCCCAUUACUACUCGUGUAGCCUAUAUUUUCUAAGCCACCUUGGAGAUUUUGGUUAAGGGAUUUACCUAAUCCCAUUGUGACUUUUGGCAGCCCUAUUUAGACUUAGGAUCACUUAGGCACCUCAGGCUCACUUAGGCACCUUAGUGUCACAAGAUGCUUCACAUGACCCUCUCCAUGGCCUUAUAUAGGAGGAGGAAAGCUUCUAGAGACUUCUAUAGCCAUCUACACUAAGCCAUUAGUGGGAAGAGUGUGGGAGGUUCUAGAAGUGCUUAGAGAUGUCCACACAUCUCUACACUAUGGUGGAAGGCAUGAGAGGAGUCCAAGGCUUUCUAGAGACUUCUAGGAAUCUCUUGUAUAUUCUUGUACAUAGGGUUGUACAUAGAAUAGGGUAGGAUGUUCUAGAAUAUUCUUGAUUUGUAAGGAACCCUCCAAGGUUCUAAAUAGUUCCAUUGGUGCCUAUAAAUAGGUGAGACCCUCAUUUGGCCAAGGCACCACCCAAAUCACUUCCUAACCAAGCAAGUGAGUCUUCAAAGCACUUGUAAAGGCUUCUUUGAGUAAUAAGAGCUUCCAUUCUCUAAGAGUUGACUACUAAGCUUCUUAAGCUUUCGAGUUACGAGCGUCUUAGCCUAGCAAUCUAAGCAUUGGGAGCAAGGUUGACUUAGCAAGGUCAAGCGUCUUGACUUGCCUAAGUGCCGCACGAGCUUAGUGAACGACUAAGUCCGUGACAUUAGGCCCACUUAUGCACCAUAUGUCCACUUAGGCACCUUAGACCCAUUUAGGCACACUUGACCCAUUGGGCAUCACCUUAGGCCCACUUAGGCAUCUUAAGUCCAUUUAGGAACCCUAGGCCCAUUUAAGCACCCUAGGCCCAUUUAGACACCUUAGGCCCAUUUAGGCAUCCUAGGCUCAUUUAGGCACUCUAGGCCCAUAUAGGCACCAUAGGCCCAUUUAGGCACCUUAAGCUCAUUUAGGCACCCUAGGCCCAUUUAGGCACCCUAGGCCCAUUUAGGCAUCCUAGGCCUAUUUAAGCAUCCUAGGCUCAUUUAGGCAUUCUAGGCCCAUUUAGGCACCCUAGGUCCAUUUAGGCAUCCUAGGCCCAUCUAGGCACCCUAGGUCCAUUUAGGCAUCCCAGGUCCAUUUAGGCACCCUAGGCCCAUUUAGGCACCCUAGGCCCAUUUAGGCACACUUGGCCCAUUAGGCACCAUCCUAGGCCCACAUAGGCAUCCUAGGUGUCUAAAAUGCUCAUUUAGACACCUUAGGCCCAUUUAGGCACCCUAAGCCCAUUUAGACACCUUAGGCCUAUUUAUGCACCCUAGGCCCAUUUAGACACCAUAGUGUCAUAUGAUGCUUCAAAUGAGCCUCCUCAUGGGUUUAUAUAGAGCCCAAGAAGUUUCUGGAGAUUCUUGGAGCCAUCUACACUAAGCCAUUGGAGGGAAGAGUGUGGAAGGUUCUAAAGGUGCCUAGAGAUGUCCACACAUCUCUACACUAUGGUGGAAGGCAUGAGAGGAAUCCAAGGCUUUCUAGAGAAUUCUAGAAAUCUCUUAUACAUAGGGUUGUACAUAGAAUUGUGUAGGGUAUUCUAGAAUCUUCUUGAUUUGUAAGGAACCUUCCAAGGUUCCAGAGAGUUCUAUUGGUGCCUAUAAAUAGGUGAGGGCCUCAUUUGGCAAAGGCACCACCCAAAUCACUUCCUAACCAAGCAAGUGAGCUUCUAAGCAUUGUAUAGCUUCCUUUGAAAGCAAUAAAGCUUCCAUUAUUUAAGGGUUGCCUACUAUGCCUUCUAAAGCUUCCAAGUUGUGAGCGUCUUAGCCUAGCAAGCUAAACAUUGAGAGUAAUGCUGACUUAGCAAGAUCAAGGGUCUUGGCUUGUCUAAGUGCCGCACGAGCUUAGGAAAAGACUAAGUCCGUGACACUAGGCCCACAUAGGCAUCCUAGGCUCAUUUAGACACCUUAGGACCCUUUAGGCACCCUAGGCCCAUUUAGGCACCCUUGACCUAUUUAAGCAUCCUAGGACCAUUUAGGCACCCUAGGCCCAUUUAGGCACCCUAGGCCCAUUUAGGCACAUUGGACCCAUUUAGAUGCACUUGGCCCACUUAGGCUCACUUAGGCCCACUUAGGUCACUUUUUAGGUAAUUUUUUGCAUGUUUGCAUGAUUGCAUUUUUUGUAUGACUUGCAUGGCUUGUUUAUUUUAAAGUUGCGUGACUUGACUUUUUAUUAUAUUAUUUUUAUUUAUUUUAUUUAUUAUCUUGUCUUUUUCUUCAUCUAUUUUAUUUCCUUAUUAUUUUGCCACUUUUCCGUAAUGCUUGUCCUUAUUUAUCUAUUUUAAUUUAAUAAUUUUGUGUAAAUAUUUUUAUAUUUUUAUUUUUUAGUACUGUUAUUAUUAUUAUUAUUAUUAUUAUUAUUAUUAUUAUUAUUAUUAUUAUUAUUAUUUUAUUACUUGUCCUUAUUUAUUUGAAAUUUUGUAUGAAAUGUAUGGAAGGUGUGCACGGUAUUGAUAUUUGGAAUGUGAGAUUUCCUUGGAUGCAUGAUCAUUGGAGAUGGAAUGGAUACCAUAUUGAGAUUGGAAGAUACGUUUUGGGAGAAUUUAAGGAAAUGUGGCUCUAGGAGAUAAGGAAACAAUUGAAGAUUGACAUGGCUUGGAGAAAGAAAUUGGAGUUUGAGGUUUUUCUUUAGAAAGAGAGACAAUUAAAAAGAAAAAAGAAAAAGGAAGACUACCAAUUUGGUUUUGGAGGAAUUAUAAGGUCGUGCAUUUAAUGAAGAAAGUAAGUGGGUUCUUUAGAGGAAAGUGAGAUUUUUCCUUAGAAGCAAAAUAAAAGUCAACACCUUUUGUUUGGAAGCUUGAGACCACACUUGGGAAGGUUUUUCAGCACAUUUUUUGAGGAUAUGGUUCAAAAUGAGGGUUGUGUCUAGGUAUGGAAAAGAAAAAUUUAUGGGCAUGAUGAAGAAAGGAUUAAAUGAGAGACUUGGUUUCAAGAAGUGGAUGAAAGAGAGGAUGGCAGAGCAGAUCCUUUCUGAUAUCUCCACCGUGGCUGCAAAAAGGAAUUUGUGGGGGGGGGGGGGGUGCACAUUUUAGAGGAAAUGAUUGAAGGAAGAUUGGAGUAAAAAAUGAAGAACAAGAUUUUUUUUAGAGAGGAUCUGCCAUUUAAAAUAUAGAAGCACCAAAAUUUCUCAAAGGGGAUCUGAGACACCCAAGUUUGAGACACCGCCAAGAAGAAAUCUUCAUGGACAGCCGCACAUGGGAGGAGAGGGUAGUGGUUGCACAUAGGGAGGAAUGACAACCACUUGAUGCUUAGAAAACAUUGAUGAUCAUGUGGUUGAACUUUGAAGAUGCAUCCAUUACAAAGAGCGGGCUGCUACAUGAAAAAAAAAAAAAAGAUUUUUUUAGAGAGGAUGAUUGACGAUUUUGGGUAUUCAAGGGAGGAAUGACAACCACUUGAUGGUUAGAAAACAUGGAUGAUCGUGUGCUUGAACUUUGAAGAUGCAACCAUCAUAGAAAGCGAACUGCUACAUGGAAAAAAGAUGACUUUUUGAGAGAGGAUGAUUCACGGUUUUGGGUAUUCAAGGGAAGAAUGACAACCACUUAAUGUUUAGAAAACAUGGAUGAUCGUGUGCUUGAACUUUGACGAUGCAGCCAUCACUUUGGAUUUUUUUAAAAUUUUCUUAUGUCACUAAUGCUCGGAUCCGUAGAAAUGCCACCAUGCUUUGACUCCACUUUCAUGUUGAAUGUAAGUAGAGAUAUUUACAUUUGAUUGAAGAGAUGUAGCAAUCAUAUUUGAGAAGAAUUGCAACAGCCACUUUGUCAUGCUUAAUGGAGAAAAAAAAAUUCAUGGCAUAUGUGUGAGAUAAGUGGCAAUCACGUGGUGCUGUAAGUGGAUUCUUAAUGGCUGAUUUGUUUUUCCUUGAUACUUAUUCAUGGAUUUCAAUGGUGUUAGGAGGAGAAAGAAUUUUUUUUAAAAGAAAUUUUCAACACGUGGAGGAGAGAGUAGAGAGAAUGGAGUGUUGUUUUUUCUAGUUGUUGGAGUGUUACAUCUCAUAUUGAAAGCAUGGAAUUAAAAAGGAAAGAAGAAAGACUUAAAAUAGAAAGCAAGUUAGAUGAGAAGAGUUAGUUAGAAGAGUUGUUAUUUCAGUUUAUUCUUUACUCUGUUAUUUUGUCAUUGAUGUAUUAUAAAUAGGACUCAAGUCUGAUGUAGUUUUUCAAUUUUUCAGUUUCUGCAAUUCAUUUUCCUUUGUGUCCUAUGUUUCUUGGUGUUUUUCAUCAGUUUCAUAUUCUUCUGAUUCUCAACAUGGUAUCAAAGCCAAACCCUAAAGCUUCCAUAACCUAAAUCGAUCAAUUUCUUCUCAACUUCUGCCUUGCGAAAUUCUACUCUAGAAUUCUCGCAUUGAUUGUCUUCCAGCUUCUUGCAUUUUCUUGAAUAAAUUCUUGAAAAUGAGUUCUGGUGAUUCUCCUCUUGUCAAUCCCUCUUCUAUGCAUCCUUCUUCAUCUAAUUCUUUUAAUCAGCCUCCUAUCAAUCCUUCAGAUGACUCAUCAAGUUCGUAUUACCUACAUCCAAGUGACAAUCCUGGUGCUUUGUUAGUAUCAGAAAUCUUCAAUGGAGAAAACUAUGUUGCAUGGAGUCAUUCAAUAGUCAUUGCAUUGACAGUAAAAAACAAGGUACAAUUUAUAGAUGGUUCAAUUGUUUCUCCCUCUACUGGUCAGCUUGUUAAACACACAGCAUGGUUAAGGGCAAAUAAUCUGGUUCUUUCUUAGUUGAUGAAUUCCAUUUCAAAAGAAAUAUGAAAUAGUUUGUUGUUUGUGGUAUCUGCUGUUGAUAUUUGGAAUGAGCUUAAAGUCAGAUAUCUCAGGAGUGAUGGACCAAGGGUUUUCCAACUUGAGAAAUCUUUGAGUUGAAUCAGUCAAGGUGUUUUGUCUGUCACUGAAUAUUUCAGUACCUUUAAGACCCUUUGGGACGAGUACAUUAGCUAUAGGCCAUUUCCAACAUGCACUUGUGGCAAGAUGGCAACAUGCACUUGUGAACUUUUCAACUUUCUACAAAUCAUAUAGCAAUCUGAUUAUGUACUCAAAUUCUUGGUGGGGCUAAAUGAUUCUUAUGCCUCUAUCAGAAGCCAAUUGUUGCUAACGGUUCCAUUACCAAACAUGUCCAAGGUUUUCUCUCUAUUGCUUCAAGAAGAAAGUCAGAGACAACUCACAAAUUUUGCUACAUAUAAUGAGACUCAUGCUUUGAUGGUAAAGCAAUCCAAUCAGCAUAAUUACUAGCCACAAUCUUUCAAGGACAAACCAAAGAAAUCUGCCCUACACUGUAGUCAUUGUGGCUAUAAUGGUCACACAAUGGACAAAUGUUUUCAACUUCAUGGUUAUCUCCUUGGCUGGAAUGGACUAAAGGGAAAAAGAAAUAUGGCUUAUGCUUAUGCUGCCAUUACUACUCUAGAGGUCCCCAAUCAAAAUAGCAAUGAGCAACAAAAGUUUUGUUUCACUCCAGAGGAAUUUCAUAAACUAAUGGCGCUUGCAAAUUCAGUUCAACCCAAUUCUUCCGAUCAGAAUAAUGUCCAACUAGCUGUUAACCUUGUCUCCAUCUCUCACUUUUCUGGUAAAGUUCAACCUACACUUAAACCAAAAUUUUUUUUUUCUUGUAAUUCUGUUACUUCUAAGACAAAUUCCACUUCAUAUUGGCUUCUUGAUACGGGUGCAACAUACCAUAUGAUUUGUUCACCACUUUUAUACCAUUCUACACCUAAACCAAUUAAUGCAUCCAUCAAUCUUCCUAAUGGUACUACAGUUCCAACCACACACAUUGGUACUGUAUGUCUCUCAAAUUCCUUAUUUUUACAUAAUGUCUUGUGUGUUCCUCAUUUUUCAUUCACUCUAUUAUCCGUUUCCAAACUCACUAAACAAUAUAAUAUUUCUCUUACCUUUACUACUUCUCAUUGCCUUUUACAGGACCAGUCAAUGGAAAAGAUGAUUGGGAUUGCUCUUGAAAAAGAAGGACUUUACCAUCUAAUUCCAGCUUCAUCACAAGCUAAAACCUGCAAUUCAUUUCAGUUUAAUUCUGCUCCUCUUGCUUUGUCCUAUAUUCACAAACACUUAGAUAUAUGGCAUUGUAGAUUAGGAUAUGUAUCUAGUUCAAGAUUCCAUUCCCUCAAACAGAUUGACUCUACUAUCACUCUUGAUCAUACAAAUGAUUGUGACAUAUGUCCUUUAGCAAAGCAAAGAACGCUUCCUUUUUCUGUAUCAUAGAGUAAUUCUAAUAAAAGUUUUGAUUUGAUCCAUUGUGAUAUAUGGGGUCCUUUUAACACUACUUCUUAUUUUGGUUUUCGAUAUUUUUUAACUAUAGUCGAUGACUUCACAAGGUGUACUUGGGUAUACAUGAUUAAAGCUAAAUCAGAAGUGCCAUCUUUAAUCAAAACUUUCUGUAAAAUGGUAGUAAACCAAUUUUCUUCUUCUGCCAAAUCUAUAAGAUCUGAUAAUGGACCAUAAUUCUUACUCACAAAAUUCUAUCUUAAAUAUGGUAUUUUGCAUCAGAGAAGUUGUGUCGAAACUCCUCAACAAAAUGGUGUUGUGGAGAGAAAACAUCAACAUUUACUAAGCACUACUAGAGCCUUAAUGUUUCAAGAAAAUCUACCAUUAAUUGUUUGGAGUGACUGUGUGCUCACUGCUGCCCACAUAAUCAAUAGAAUUCCCACUCCUCUACUUCAAAAUAAAACCCCUUUUGAAAUGAUUUUUAACAAAACACAUAACCUUUCUCAUUUAAGAGUUUUUGGCUGCCUUUGUUUUGCAUCCACUUUAACUAUUCACAGACAAAAAUUUGAUUCACGAGCCACAAAGUGCAUCUUCCUAGGAUAUCCUUAUGAUAUUAAGGGUUAUAAACUUAUGGAUCUAAACACCAAUAAGAUCCUUGUUUCUCGGAAUGUCAUAUUCCAUGAAACAAUUUUUCCUUUCCAAGUAUUGCCCCAACAUCCUGAAACUCAUUCCUUUAUAUUUCAUUUUUCACAAUCCUUUUCAGAUUCACCUUCUACCACCUCAUUCUUCAAUUCCUAUCACAAUAUGGGAUCUGCAUCACCACCUAAUAAUUCUCAUUCUCUCUCUGAACCUCCUACCCUUCUUGAAUCCAACUUACUUACAUUUCUCUCUCCAUCCCAUCUGGAUUCAACUGACCCUGAAGUCCUACAACUCAGAAAUCAACCAGAAUUAAACAAAAACCUUCAUAUUUGUAGGACUAUUAUUGUGGUGAUGUCUUUUUUUUCUCAAAAUGCAACUCAAGCAUCUACUUCAACUGAUUAUUCUCCUACUAAAGGUAAUUUCUAUUCUUUUCACCAUUUUCUUCUACUAGUAGACUGUCUACACCCCAUAAAGCUUUUCUCACCUCUAUCACAAACUCUCCAAAACCUAAAUCAUACACCCAAGUUUCUCACCUCCCCGAAUGGCAAGCUGCCAUGCAACAUGAACUUACUGCUUUGGAGUUAAAUAAAACUUGGGAGCUUGUUACUCUUCUUAAAAAUAAAAGGACUAUUGGUUGUAAAUGGGUAUUCAAAGUGAAAUAUAAAGCUGGUGGAACUAUAGAAAGACAUAAAGCUAGAUUGGUGGCAAAAGGGUAUACUCAGCAAGAAGGCCUCGAUUUCUUUGAUACUUUCUCUCUCCUGUGGCCAAGAUUAUAUCCAUUCGCUUACUACUUGCUGUGGCUGCCGUCAAACAGUGGCAUCUUCAUCAACUAGAUGUCAAUAAUGCAUUUUUGCAUGCUGAUUUACAUGAAGAGGUUUACAUGGAAUUGCCUAUUGGGUUGGCUGUCCAAGGUGAACAGAAAGUUUGUCGUCUUUUAAAGAGCCUCUAUGGCUUGAAGCAAGCUUCCAAGCAAUGGUAUGCCAAGCUAUCCCAGGCCAUUCUUUCCUAUGGAUUUGUUCAAGGUAAUUUUGACUAUUCUAUGUUCAUUAAGAAAUCUAAAAGUUCUUUUAUGGUCUUAUUAGUUUAUGUGGAUGAUGUGCUAUUGGCAAGUGAUAGCAUUCUGGAAAUUGAAAGGUUGGAGACCUUUUUAGAUGCCAAGUUCACUAUUAAAGACUUAGGCCCACUGAAAUACUUUCUUGGCUUGGAAGUUGCAAGGUCCAAGACUGGUAUCUUAUUAUGCUAAUGAAAGUAUAUACUUGACACACUUAAGACAUUGGUUUAACUGGAUCCAAACCUACUGCUUUCCCUAUGGAAUCUACCCUCAAGUUAUCAGCAAAUGAUACCAAUUUCUAUGAAGAUCCAUCAGGUUACCGAAGACUCAUUGGCAUAUUACUUUACUUAACUCUCACUAUGCCUGACUUAGCCUAUUCUGUAUGAGUACUCAACCAAUUUUUAGCAAAACUUGCUGUCAGUCACCAUCAAGCGACUAUUCGAGUACUGAGGUAUCUAAAGGCCACACCAGGGCAAGGUCUCUUUUUUCUUUCUUUUUCAGAUUUUCAAUUAAAGGGUUUUUCCGAUAGUAAUUGGGUAGGUUGUGUCGAUACUAGAAAGAGUGUCACUGGUUUUGCAAUUUUUCUUAGCAACUCAUUGAUUUCAUGGAAAUCAAAGAAACAAGUUAUAGUUAGUCGAUCCUCUAUAGAGGUAGAGUACUGAGCCCUUGCAACUACCACCUGUUAAAUUCAAUGGCUUUUGUAUGCCUUACAAGACCUGGAUUUCAAACAUUCACAGUCAGCUUUGCUAUAUACUGACAGUAAAUCAACAAUGUCCAUCGCCAUAAAUCCAAUUCAGUAUGACAGAACAAAGCACAUCCAGAUUGAUUGCCAUCUUAUUCGCGAAAAAUUGCAGCAGCAUGUUAUUAAGCUUUUCCAUAUUCCAUCGCGAUUACAGCUCGCAGAUAUCUUUACAAAGCCUUUCGGUUCUCUACCUUUUCUUUAUACUCUUCGCAAGAUGAACAUCAUUAACAUCUAUGUUCAUCUUGAGGGGGGAUGUUGGAGUGUUACAUCUCAUAUUGAAAGCAUGGAAUUAAAAAAGAAAGAAGAAAGACUUAAAAUAGAAAGCAAGUUAGAUGAGAAGAGUUAGCUAGAAGAGUUGUUAUUUCAGUUUAUUUUUUACUCUGUUAUUAUGUCAUUGAUGUAUUGUAAAUAGAACUCAAGUCUGAUGUAGUUUUUCAAAUUUUCAGUUUCUGCAAUUCAUUUUCCUUUGCGUCCUCUGUUUCUUGGUGUUUUUCAUCAGUUUCAGAUUCUUCUGAUUCUCAACACUAGUGAUAUCCAACAUUCUGAAGGGGUGAAGAAACACGUUGAUCUGGAUGGAUUUGGAGCAACAUGCCAUAUGUUCUGAUCUUUCAACAGCCCAUGCAUGGACUCUUUCCCACAGACUGCCACUUGGAGAUGUGAGGGUUACAUAGCAUAUUGGGAUUAAAAGAGUUCCCUACAUAGUUCAGAAAAGAUAUAUACAGUACGCAUGAUUGGAGAAUUGACACGUAAGUUGCCAUGUUGAUAAGGAUUGAAGCACACAACCGUAUUCCCCACCAUCAAGGGGACUGACACACAUCAUUGAACACUAGCAUGUACAUUGAGUGCAAGAGAGGGCGACUGCAUCAUUGAUUCUCUAGGGACUAGUAGCCAUAAAUUCUUUUCAAAGUGGGUUGCUGAUUACUACUCAAAAAGAGCAUAUUUUAGAUAAUAAUUCUCAUGAUUUUCACGUCUUUUGAGUAGUAAUUAUGCCUAAAACACUCAAUUAACAUGUUGUCUCCCUUGCAAGAGUUACUAACAAGUUUUAUGAAGUUUUGAAGUCAUUUCAAGGUAUUUUUUUGAUAAAUUGGUGACAAAAGAGAUGAAUCAAAUUGAAAAAAACAAAUAAAGUUGAUGAUGAUCCAAAUGCAUAAUGAAAAAAGCAAUGCAAUCGGUUUGGAUCGGGAUUUGGAGGUAGUUGAUGUGGAAUCAAGAGAAAGAAAUGAGAGAAAUUGCAAAGAGGAAUCGAAAAAGCAUGUUUUUCAAUUUUGCAUGACCAUGCGAAAUUUUCGCACAGUCAUGCGAAAUGAAACAUAAUAGACUUGGCUGCAGCACACAAAGGAAACGUGAAAAGUGAUUUCGCAUAACCAUGCGAAGUUUUCGCACAGUCAUGUGAAACGCUCCAGGAAGACGAAAAUGAAGCUGAUGGACUUUCCACUUCGCACCAUCAUGCGAAAUUGCUGGGGGCUCAUGCGAAAAUGCAUUUUCUCCAAAUUCCUUGAUGAAUAAGCAUCCGGAAGACCUCUUAGAUGAUGUCAAGUGUCCUCUUGACCUUGGCCUAUAAAUAGAAACGUGAUUGACUCAUUUGAGGACUUUUGAUACAUUUUCUAAUUGUAGAACUUUUUUGAUUUCUUUUCUCUAUAUAAUUCUCUACUUUCCUUCAUUUUCUCUCAUUUUCUCGGUAGCCAAACAUAUCUUGUGAGAUCAAAUCUCCAAGCAUGAGUGGCUAAAUCUCAUUUUUCUCGGAAGAGGGAGGAUCUAGAGGUAAGAUCUAUGGUGAAUAAGAGAAUUGAACUUGAAUUGCAAAGGUAAUUUGAUCCAAUUGAUUGAUUAAUUGAAAUUUGGGGAUUUUUCUCUUCAAAUUGUCUUGGAUGAUUACUAAAAUGCAAGCUAGGUAGAUUCAUCAAAUUCUUAAUGCUAGAUUUGAUGAAAUUGAAUAGUUGCAUAGUAUGAAUCAUUGGAAGAUAAUUUAAGAUGAAUUGAAUAUAUGAUUCAAAUUGAUCUCUUGGAUUAGAUUACCUAAUUUGAAGAGAGAUUAGAUCUAGACCUAAAGCUAAAUCAAAAAUUGGUUUAGAUGAAGAUUUAGGUUUUCAAUCUAACUUAAUGAAAAUUAGAUCUCAACGCCUAUUCACCAUAGAAAUUGCUCUCUAGAAAAUCCUAACUCCAAGAAUCUCACCUCUUAUUAAUUUUCUUCUCUUUUACACUUCAUUUUCCUCUCAAUUUGAAAGCAUUGUUAUUAUGAAAUUUUAUCAUGCAUUUUCAAAUCAAUUUCAUUUGAUCACAAUCAUUUCUUAUCAUCUCAUUUAAGCCUUAAUUACCAAGAAUAAUCCAAUAUUGUGGACGGAAUCCCUAAUGGCUUUGUGGCCCGACCCACACGCUGUGUUAGGUUCUCGUUGCGGGAGAUCUUGGAACGUGCCUGUCGUGUGAAUGCGCAUACAAAUAAGGUCACUAUUCGCCUACUACUAAUAAGGGCGGAUAGUGGAUUCUAGAUUAUAUCUUUUGGGUAGGCUAGACUGGGGUUCUGGGAAAAUCUAUAACCACUAUACUACAGUAGUUUGUACUAAAACCACUUUUUGAUCAGGUACAAAUUGCUAUAGAAUAGUGAAUUGGGUUAUAAAUUUUGUUUUGAUCCAACAAACGACAAAAUCCGAGCGAUCAAAAAUGACGCCAUUGUCGGGGAUGGUGCCAAGGUGAUUAAGGCUAAUUUUUUUGGUGAGGAUUAACCCUUGUGAUCCACAUCACAAGAUUGGUGAAGUUCUCUUUACCAAUUUUCCAUUUUUUUAUUAUUAUUUUUAUUCCAUUUUUUAUAUUUUAUUUUUCUCUUUUGUUUUUUUUUGUUUUGUUUUGGUUUUUCUUAGCUUGUUUUGUAGGCUCUCCAUUGCAUGCUACAUUGAGAAUAGAACUCAAGGGAGAGAUUGAAAAGGACUUAUAUUGCUAAUCAUUUUUGGUUUGUGAUCCAAUUGUUGAGGAAAUGGAAAAUCAAGGGGAAAAUCAACAAACUCAACAAGAACCAAACAAUGGCAAUUCUCACAUGUCUAGAUCAAUGAGAGAAUAUAUGCAUUCACAAAGGAUAGGCAUGGGAUCAUGUAUAGUUCUUCCUAAUGAACCUAUUGUGAUAAAAACUCACUUGGUACCACUUCUACCGCAAUUUCAUGGAAUGGAGAAUGAGAAUCCUUACACUCACAUCAAGGAUUUUGAAGAAGUUUGUCAUACUUUUCGAGAAGGGACUGCAUCCAUAGAGCUUAUGAGAUUGAAGCUUUUUCCAUUCACAUUGAAGGAUAAGGCUAAGUUGUGGUUCAACUCAUUGAGGCCCCAAAGCAUAAGGUCAUGAUUGGAACUACAAACAACUUUCUUGAAGAAAAUUUUCCCCAUACAUCGCACAAGUGGCUUGAAAAGGCAAAUUACCAAUUUUGUGGCAUUGGACAAUGAAAAUUUUUAUGCUUGUUGGGAAAGAUAUAUGGAAGUAGUCAAUGCUCGUCCUCAUCAUGGUUUUGAUACAUGGAUGUUGGUGAGUUACUUCUAUGAGGGCAUGUCGCCAACUAUGAAGCAAUUGCUAGAAACCAUGUGUGGAGGUGACUUUAUGAGCAAAAGUCCCGAUGAAGCCUUUGAAUUUUUGAAUUAUGUGGCUGAAAUAUCAAGGUCAUGGGAUGAGCCACAUGAAAGGGAUUUACACAAGUCCAAGUCUCAAAGCAAUUCAAAAAAAGGGAUGUAUAUGUUGAAUGAAGAUGUUGAUUUACAAGCUAAAAUGAUAGCUUUGACAAAAAGGCUAGAGGAACUUGAAGCUAAGGGAUUUCAUGAGGUGAAUUCGAUAUAUGAUAAUCCAAUUUACAUGGAGCAAUGUUCUAGUUGUCAACCUAUAGAACAUGAAGUGAGUGAUUGUCCUACAAUACCAACUAUGGGGGAAAGACCUGUUGAGAAUCAUCCGAACAUGUCAUGGAAUUGUGGAAAAAAGAUCCUUCCACAAACGACAAAAUCCGAGCUAUUAGCUGCCACGCUGCCACCUUUCAAAUACCACACAUGGAUGCCUUGGAGUUUUAAUUGACGCACCAAGAGAUCCUUCCACAAUUGUAUACAUAGCCUGCAAUGUAAAGGAAGGUGAAAGACAUUGCAACAGUUUGAUUCAAUGAGGAAAGGUAAGUAAAGGUUUUGAGUUUUGGUUUUUAAAAAUUGAAAAUUCGGAAUUUUGUUAAUUAAGCUUCAAUUCUUUGUUUUAGACAAAAAAAAAAAAAAAAAAAGUUAUGAUCUUUGUUUCGAUUUAGUUUUGAUUCUUAUAUUAGUUCGAAAAUGUUUAUUUAUUUUUUUGUUUUAGUUUGAUUCUUUGACUUAGAUUGGAGAAGUUUGAAACUUUGUUUUGGUUUUGGUUUUGGUUCAUCAUGAUAGUUCUAUAAAGCUUGAUAUUUGUUUGGAUUCAUUUUUAUUUUCAAUAAGUUAGAAUUAUGUUAUAUUUGAGUGUUAUAUGGGACGUUAUAUUUGAUUAAAUUGUUAGUUCUCUUUAUCUUUGAUACUUAUUUUAUAAGCACCUUAGAGAAUUCUUGAGUUUGAACUUUCUUUAGAAAAAGUUUUUCAUUAAAUUGACAUUUUGAGUUGAGUCAAAUUUUCUUUUUUCAAAAAUAAAAUUUUCCAUCAUAAGUUUGGCUCCUUGAUCCCAAAUGAAAGGUAGCCAAAAAGAGGAUCCAAUUUAGUUUUUCUCUUAUUUUCAAAACCCUCUCAAGUUAGAAAUCAAAAAUCUCUAUUUUGUAUCUAUUGUAUGGGAUUUAACAAACCAUUGGGUCCUUUUUUUUUUACUUCCCUUAAAUUCAUUUUCAAAAUCAUUUAAAUCACAAAUAAAAGGUUUUAGAAAACAUUCAUUCUAGCUUUAGGCAAAGAACACACUUUCUAUUAAAAUUAUGCAACUAAUUUCAUUUAAGUUACAUUUCUCCUUUGUUGUUUUUUUUCAAAAAUUUGGUUUUUAUUCACAUAGGUUUGGACUUGUAAUCCCAAAACUAAUGGGGAUACACAGGUAAAACUUACGGAAAUUGAAUGGGGACUUGAUGGAACCCCUACAUAAGAAAAUUUUUCAAAACUCUUUCUUGCUGCCAAUUUUCACUCAACCACUAACCUUCUAGAUUUAAAAUUCGUUUAAGCAAAUUUAGAAUAUUUUUUAAAAAAAUUCCAAAACUUGUAUGACUUUCCUCACUUCUUGAACUUGAAUUUAAAGUUUUGUUUGAUUUAGAAAGUCAUUUUAGAAUAGAAGAUAUAAACGAGUCUUUACGGGGGCUCCGUUUUCACCCAAUUCUAGACACUCGAGAUCUUUUUGAAAAAAUAAAAUACAAGAAGACUUUUUAAAUUUGAUUGAAUAUUGUUUCUCAAUUUUAGGCUUCUUGAAAUGGAUCUUAGACACAUAAAAUAUUAAAAAAUAUGUCUUUUUGGGGGAGAUAUGAUUUUUCAAAGUCGUACCUACUGUGAAUACUGGAUUCUGGACAUCUGAUUAGUUGGAGCAUUGUAAAAAUAUUUUUGAGUAUUACCCAACCCUGAAUUUAUUUUUCUUGUGAUAUAGACACCUUGAAAGAUGUAUGUGAUUUUUUUAUGAAUUUAUGUGAUUAUUUAUUAUUUUAAAAAAAUUGUUUAUGCAUGUCACUUUUUCUUAUCUAAUUUGGACUUUGUAGAACCUUUAGGUGUCUUUGUUGCAACCUGUCCUUUGAAUGAGUGUUUGGAUUUCGGUAUGUUGAUCUAGAUGUGUAGGAGUCAUUUCCUGAUAUUUUUCAUAAUUAAAUUCCACUCUAAGCCAUUUUUUUUAGAAAUUGUUUUGUGAUGAUUCCUUUUCUAACAACAUGCUAAUGGUUUUAUACUUUACUUGAAAUUGUUAUUAUUUUCGGAGUCAUUUGAUUUAUCUUAGCUUAAUUUUGGCUUUGGCACUGUAUAUCAAAUAUAAUAAAGAUGUUUUUUGAUAUAUACUUGCCCUAACCACUCUAGCAUUUUUUUAGGAAUCUUAUAAAUUAUGCAUGCUAUCCAGGUACGCUCUCUAUCACUUACUUUUCAGAAUUCCAUGAACAUACAUGUUGUUAUGAGCCUUAUUUAUGCUUGAUAAGAUCCUUAGAUGCCUAGAUGUAUGUUUGAUUUUCUUAGAUAAAAUACAUGUUGUGUGCUAUAUUUUUAUACUAACUUUGAUGUUUUAUGAUAGCGUAUAAGAAGCAGUCUAGGUACACACCUGAUUACUACUCAAAAAGAGCAUAUUUUAGAUAAUAAUUCUCAUGAGUUUCACAUCUUUUGAGUAGUAAUUAUGUCUAAAACACUCAAUUAACAUGUUGUUGCCCUUGUAAGAGUUACUAACAAGUUUUAUUAAGUUUUGGAGUCAUUUCAAGGUAUGUUUUUGAUAAAUUGAUGACAAAAAAGAUGAAUCAAAUUGAAGAAAACAAAUAAAGUUGAUGAUGAUCCAAAUGCAUAAUGAAAGAAGCAAUGCAAUCGGUUUGGAUUAGGAUUUGGAGGUAGUUGAAGUGAAAUCAAAAUGAAGAAAUGGAAGAAAUUGCAAAAAGGAGUUGUAAAACCCUGUUUUUCAAUUUUGCAUGAACAUGUGAAAAAUUCACACAGUCAUGCGAAAUGAAACAGAAUAGGCUUUGGUUGCAGCACACCAGGGGAAAAGUGAAAACUGAUUUCGCAUGACCAUGCGAAAUGCUCCAGAAAGACAAAAUUUGUGCUGAUGCAUUCUCCACUUCGCACAAUUGUGUGAACUUGUUGGGGCUCGUGCGAAACUGCAUUUUCUCUAGAUUCCUUGGUGAAGAAGGCUUCAGAAGACCUCUUAGAUGAUGCCACAUAUACACUUGACCUUGGCCUAUAAAUAGAAACUUGAUUGACUCAUUUAGAAACUUUUGAUACAUUUCCUAAUUGUAGAACUUUCCAGAUUUCCUCUCUCUAUAGAAUUUUCUACUUUUCUUCAUUUUCUCUCUAGCCAAACAUGCCUUGUGAGACCAAAUCUCCAAGCAUGAGUGGCUAAAUCUCGUUUUUCUUGGAGAAUGGAGGAUUUAGAGGCAAGAUCUAUGGUGAAUUAGAGAAAUGAACUUGAAUUGCAAAGGUAAUUUGAUCCAAUUGAUUGAUUAAUUGAAAUUUGGGGAUUUUUCUCUUCAAAUUGUCUUGGAUGAUUACUACAAUGCAAGCUAGGUAGAUUCAUUAAAUUCUUAAAGCUAGAUUUGAUGAGAUGAAUAGUUGCAUUGUGUGAAUCAUUAGAAGAUAAUUUAAAAUGAAUUGAAUAUAUGAUUUGAAUUGAUCUCUUGGAUUAGAUUACCUAAUUUGAAGAGAAAUUAGAUCUAGACCUAAAGCUAAAUCAAAAAUUGGUUUAGAUGAAAAUUUAGGUUUUCAAUCUAACUUGAUGAAAAUUAGAUCUCAAUAUCUAUUCACCAUGGAAAUUUAUUUCUAGAAAAUCCUUACUCCGAGAAUUUCAUCUCCUAUUAAUUUUCUUUUAUUUUACAUUUUAUUUUUCUUCUCAAUUUUAGACCAUUGUCAAAUUGAUUUUUCAUCAUGAAUUUUCAAAUCAAUUUCACUUUAUUACAAUCAUUUCUUAUCCUCUCAUUUAAGCCUUAAUUACCGAGAAUAAUCCAUCCUAGUGGACGACACUUAAAAACCACUAUACUACGGUAGUUUAUACUAAAACCAUUUUUGAUCGGGUAUAAGCUACUCUAGAAUAGUGAAUUAGGUUAUAAAUUUUAUUUUAAUCAAAUAAACGACAAAAAUCUGAGCGAUCAUCACCCUAAAUUUUCUUUCUGGUUUGUAAUUGGUUUUCUUAUUUAGCAUGUUAUUUUUUGGAAAUCACCUUAGUUUACCUAGAUACCCUCAAUCAACCGAUUAAUUGUCACAUUCCCCUUAACUUAGUCAGUAGAGACCUCUUUAAGGCUUAGAGUGGUGCUACCUCUUAGAGGUAUCUUCCCAAUAGGUAACCUGAUCUCUAGACCUUGACUCGGGUUUUUCACAGACACACUUUUCCAAAAACUAUAGAGUCAUUUUUUAGGGUUUUAUUUCUUAUUUUAUUUUUCCUUUAAAAUAAAAAUAAAAUAAGUGGUGACUCCAAUUUUUCUAAAACUAUUUUUUCACAAAUAAAAGCGAGUCUCACGAUCGAGUGGGAGCACACGUGAGAAAUGCUGGUCCACAAAUUGGCGACUCCACUGGGGACUAUGAGGAUCAAACUUGAACACUAUUUGAGGAAAAUGUGGCAUUUAAUCGGUCGAUUAGAAGGUACCUCCUUUUUUAGGUAAGGUUAUCUGAUCUUCUUGCUUGUUUGGUAUGCAUCUUAACAUGUUUAAUUGCCUUGAAUGAUCACUUGACUGAUUUGUUCAUUUUAGCAUGAUUCACUCUCACAUAUGCUAGAAAUGACUUAGUUUGUAUGAUACAUAUCUAUUUCGCAUGACUGUUUGUUGCAUGACAACCAUUUCUCUUGCAUGAUUGCUUGUAUUUGUUUACUAUCUCACUUUAAAUCUUAGGUUUUUCGGAUGCACCUACUUCAUUCACUGUGCACUUUAGAUUAUCCUCGAAUGUUGAGAUAUGAGAUAGCCUUCACCAUUAAGAAACCCCUUGGGAACAUGAGGAAGUGCAUGUGUGCAGGUGAUGACCACUUUGCAUGGAAGCACCAUGUCUCUUUUAAGGUGUGCAGAGGGUUGCGUACCACCGGAGGGUACGAUCGCUUCUGCUAAGGAUCCUUUAACCCACCCAUUUUAUCUUAUAGAGCCACCUUAACCUUAUAGGUUAGCCUAGACCCAAUUAAGAUUUCACUCUUACACGUGGGUGCAUUUGUGGACCUUCUGAGCUGCCUUAGUCACAAUUGGGUUCAGUUACCCUCUUCAUGGUCUCCUUUUGGUGUGCUCAGAGAUUGGUACAUGUUUGUGUUUCAAUUGAGCCACAUUUUUGCAUUGUAAUUAGUGCAUUUCCACCUCUUUUGAGCUUCAUUUGUGUCAUUUAUCUUUUCGUGUCUUUGUACCUUAUAGGAGUGUUAUUCGCUUCAAUUUAGAUUUGACUUCUUAUAUUGGAGUUGGAGAUAGAUUGAUCAGGGUUUCAAAGCAAUCAGGUAUGGAUCCUCAGCAUGAUACAAUUGAUCGACUUACAAUCGCCAUGACUCUAUUCAGGAGGCAUUAGUAGAUUUGAGCCAGAUGAUUGAUAGACGGUGAGAUAGAUCACAUCUAGUUCAUGAUGAGAUGUCAUGUGAUUUAUUGCCUCCCACCACCCAGUUAGCCAGUGACAUUGUUAAGGGUGACAUCGUACAUAUGAUGAGUUUAGUGGAUACUGAGUCAAAGUUCAUCGGAUGAGAGUUCUUAUAGAGGAUGUUGUUUUUUCUCUAAGAUGGAAGAUUUGAUUGACAUGGUUUUCUUCAUGAUGAGCCUGAGAUUGAUGUAUUGGAUUAUAGUUGGAUGGUUAGCACAAAUUAGCUAGAGAUAGUUCACUCUCUUGAUAUGCUUGAAAUCUCCAUCGUUGAGAGUUCAGAAGAGAUUCAGUUUAUUUAUGUUAGGGCAUCCCGCUUAUGUUGAUGAUAUGUUUGAGGACGAUGUUAGCCCAGUUAUGGUCAUAGAGAUUCGUCUAUUCUAGGAGACCCUAGGGACUUACUUAGAGUACACCACAUGUCAUUAGAGAGUUAACCAUAGAGAGGAAAUAUGACUGAUAUAUCUGGAUAGAGACUAAUUCUCAAACCUUACCAAUGUGGAUCAGUUGAAGAAGUAUUACAUUUGAGACCAUGGUCGCAGGAUGGGUGGCCAUAAUUUCGAUUAGCCUUACACUUUAUCACUUCUAUCUAUAUAUUAUAUCGUUGCUAGCCCAUUGAUCCUCAUGUGGUACGUUAAAGCCUUUUUCUCUUUCUUAUAGCCUUGAUUACCAUUUCUACACUCGGGUUGGGGCCCUUUGAUGUAUAUGCAUGAUUUGCUAGGAAAGUCUCAUGAGCUUUAUACUUAUAGACCUAUCUUCUCAUUCUUGUUACUAUUCUCUUAUCAUCCCAUUUGUUUUAUUUUACUAUCACCAUAUUUUCAUUCUUUUUCUUGCUUUUAUCAUUAUUUGCUUUAUUUUAUCUCUUCUCUUCCUUGGGUUGAUGAUUCUUCACAUCUUGGUACAAAAGAAGGUAGUCAUAGCACUUCAUUCAUCCCAUCAUUUGGCAUUGAUUCGGAGAUUUUAGUUUGAGAGGUUGUCUCAUGGGUUGGGGGUUCAUGUAUUCAUUAAUGAUUUGAGAGAGUUUGUUCAUUCCUUACUUCUUUCCCAUUUGAGUUCGAUUUAUUGAUGAUUAAAGCAUGCACAUUAAAAAACAACAAAAACAACAACAAAACAAAAAAACAAAAAAAAAUCAAAAAAAAAAAAAUGCAAUGAUAUGUUUGUGUAUGGUAUCUUGCUCCAUUGGGCACUUAUGUCACCUUUUGAGGUCUAUUUAUUAGGCAUAUUUGUCAUUAUGAGUUCUUGUGAGAUUUUUAUAUGAGUUUCCACUCCUUGAGCCACUCUUGUUAUGCAUUAGGAGUGUCAAGGGUUCAUGUGAGUGUUCUAUGAGAUCCUAUACUUCUUGGAUCAUGGUUGAUAUGCAUUAGGUAUGAAAGAUAAGUGACCUUUUACUAGGGUCUUUGAAUCAUUGUCUUAUCCAUCAUUCCAUCAUUGGUGAUAUGACUUUCUUUUAUUGUACUGAUAUGGGUUGAUCAUCAUUCAUUCCACUUUCUCAUUGCCUUAUUUUGUAUCUCAUCACCUCUUUCCAGAUCUUCAUUCCACUUUUUAUCCAUUCCCUACAUAUUGAUACACAUUACAAAUUCGAUAUCUUCUUCACAUCAUUCACAUGUUUCAUUGAUGGUUUGACCACUCAUCAUUUUUCUUGUUUCACCAUCAACAUUUUCUUUGGUUACCUUUAAGUCUAUGGAUCAUGAGAUUUUUCUAUUCAUUACAUCUUGUACACGAGGGUAUGGGUUUGAUCAUUGGGUAUUUGAGCCUAGUUUCCCUUCAUUUCUUAUACCUUAUCACCCUGGCUUACGUUACAUCUCAUGUCUUAAGACCACCCUAAGGCCAUGAGAUCAAAUGCUAUCUUUGAUAGCCUCUACUUAGGCUGGUGUUUGGGAUUUGGUUGACAUAUAGACGUCGUCCUAUUUUUUCUUCUAGGGGAUGCUUCUUUGAUGCUUGGAGGUGAUUUAGUGAUGGAUGUAGACAAUUGCUUCAUCUUAUAGAUGAUAUUUAAUGUCGUCUGGCUCCCCAUUCUACUGUGUAUCAACUAUCAUACUGGGGCAUAUUCCCCUUUCAUUUGGUUGAGAUGAGCCCCUACUUUGAGCAUUGGCAUUUUCAUCGAUCAAAGUUCUCUAAUGGAGCAUUGUUGAGCUCAUUAACGAUUUUCAUGAUUCUAGGUUCCAUUUGCGGAGUAUUUCUGAGAUGGACUAGUAGAUUAUUGUUGAGCUGGGGAUAGCUGAUUGAUGAUGUUUGAUUCAUUCUUUGUUGUGCACCAGAUAUCCACACUGGGGCAUAUUUCUCCUUUUUUCGAGAUCCUUAGUCGUGGUUGGGUUGUGUGGCUAUCCUUGAUCUUGAUUAUUAAGAUGCUUGAUUGAUGUUAGUAGAUGGUUUAUUGAUGAUGAAAAAUGUGUGACAGGUGAUGUCAUAUUCUUUGUUGUGUACUAGAUAUCCAUACUGGGGCAUAUUCUCCUCUCCUUGUCAAGAUUUUGUUUGCACAGUGGUAUGAGGACGAAUGAUUGAUGUUGGUUAUUUACCUCAUGACUUUGACAUCAGAUCUUAUACUAGUGCAUAUUUCUCCAUUUCCUUUUAGUAUCCUUGAGAUUAGGACAACAGUCAUCUUGGUUUUAGAUUGAGUACUAGUAUGGGGCUUCCGACGAUUGACUGUAUCAGGACCUCCCUACAUGGAUUUGUUGAGACAGAGAUGGAUUACAUCAAGUUUCAUUCGAGGAGCAUAGGUGGAUCCUUUAGCCAGAUGCUCAUGAGAUAUAUUGUUUUGGUCAUUGAUUACCUUGCCGGUUGGGUUAUCCAGAUGAGCGGUAUUUUUAUGCACUUUGAGAUUUUCUUUUAGAUAAGUCGCGUUUACACACUCCAAGAUUUACGUUUUGAGAUUCGUCAACAAAGAAGCUCUUGAGACAUAGAGAGUUCUUUCAGUUUAGAUUUCUCAGAGGUUCGUCAUGAUACAUUGGUUUCUAACCCAUUGAUUUCAGCGGAUGAUUGAUUUACUACGUGUUUCAGCAAUGUGAACACAUUGGACACUAGGGCAUAUUUCCUUUCCUAAGCCUAGUAGUCCAACCCCUUGCAUUUUGAGCAUACGACUUUUAGCCCAUUUGCUUCUCAUCCACUUUCGAGUUGGUCUUCUUUAUUCGUGACAUUUAGAGCCCAAAGCUCUCGACCUAGAGUCGUUUUUCAUUCAUGACCCAAAGUAAUUUCUUUUCCAUUUAGAGCUCAGAGCUCACGACCUAGAUUUGUUUUUAAUUUAUGAACCAGAGUCAUUUUUUUUUCAUUUAGAGCCCAGAGCUCUCGACCUAGAGUCGAUUUUUCAUUUAUGACCUAGAGUCAUAUCUUUUCCAUUUAAAGCCCAGAGCUCACGACCCAGAGUCGUUUUUCAUUUAUAACCCAGAGUCAUUAUUUUCCAUUUAGAGCCCAGAGUUCUCGACCCAGAGUCAUUUUUCAUUUAUAACCUAAAGUCAUUUCUUUUCCAUUUAGAGCUCGAAGCUCUCAACUUAUAGUCGAUUUUCAUUUAUGACCCAAAGUCAUUUAUUUUCCAUUUAGAGCCUAAAGCUCACGACCUAGAGUCGUUUUUCAUUUAUGACCCAAAGUCAUUUCUUUUCCAUUUAGAGCCCAGAGCUCUUGACCCAGAGUUGUUUUUCAUUUAUGACCUAGAGUUAUUUCUUUUCCAUUUAGAGCCUAGAGCUCACAACCCAGAGUCGUUUUUCAUUUAUGACCAAGAGUCAUUUCUUUUCUAUUUAGAACCUAGAACUCACAACCUAGAUUCAUUUUUCAUUUAUGACCUAGAGUCAUUUCUUUUCCAUUUAAUUAGAGCCCAACACUCUCGACCUAGAGUCAAUUUUUUCAUUUAUGACCUAGAGUCAUUUCUUUUCCAUUUAGAGCCUAGAGCUCACGACCUAGAGUCGUUUUUCAUUUAUGACCCAAAGUCAUUUCUUUUUCAUAUAGAGCUCAGAGCUCUCGACUCAAAGUUGUUUUAAAUUUAUGACCCAGAGUCAUUUUUUUUCAAUUUAGAGCCUAGAGCUCUAGACCUAGAGUCGUUUUUCAUUUAUGACCCAGACUCAUUUCUUUUCCAUUUAAAGCCCGAAGCUCUCGACCCAAAUUCGAUUUUCAUUUAUGACCCAAAGUCAUUUCUUUUCCAUUUAGAGCUCAAAGCUCUCGACCCAGAGUCCAUUUUUUAUUUAUGACCUAGAGUCAUUUCUUUACUUUUUAAUACUUAAUAGAAAUAAAAUAUUACAAAGACAAAAACCUAAUAUUUAACACUAUUAACUAUUAAGUUAUAUUUAGAAUUAAGUAAAAAAACAAACACCACCUUAGUGUUCAGAUAAAUGAAGACAGACACGCCCCGUGUAAUGGGCAAUUGGGCGCACCAAAUUUGUAAUCCUAAGGCCAAACACCAAGUUCUAUGUUGACCUGUUGUACUUGUCAAAUGGAUGUUCGAUCUGAGAAAUGUUUUCAAAAAUAAUUUUUAGAAACAAAAUUUUAGAAUAAUUUUUAAAUAUUGUGCUAUAAUAUUUUAUAAAGUAGAAGUUUGUUUAGAAGCCCUAAAAUAUUUUUACUUCCAAUGCAUGUAACAUUUAAAAUUUUUUAUUAAAAUAAUUAUUUUCAAAUAUUAAAAAUAUUAAAAACGUUUCCUAAAAUCAAUAUCAAAUAUAUUUUAAAUAUGUUUUAAAAUGUAAUUUUGCAUGUAAUAUUUUAUGUUUUUAUUAUUAGUAUUUAUAUAAUUACUUUUAAAAUAGUUUUUCAAAAAUAAAUAAAAAUAAUUAAAAAAAAUUUAUUUAAAAAUACCUUAUAAAAAAACUUUGUCCUAUUUUCUGAUUAUGAAAUUUGAUUCUCUUUUUUUUUUUUUAUAUUAAAGAAUAGAAUAUUAUUCUAUAAACAUAGUUAACAAAGUGGUCUGAAUUCCCAGAUUGUCUCCCUAUUUUGGAAUUAUGAUGGGCGGCCUUUCUGUGGCAGCAGGAGGCUCAGUGGGCGGAAUGGAGCCCAUUUUGCAAGCAGGCCACAAAGUCGUUUGCUUUUCGUGAUUGUACUAGAAAUUUCUCUUGAUUUGAUGGCAAGAAAUCAUUGGUUUCAUUUCAAAUAUAUAAAUAAUAUAAUCAUCAGAAUAACGUUUUGGAAAAUUAGACAUUUGUGAAGAUAUAAAUAUAUAAAAUUUUAUCAGAAAUUGGUAGUUAAAAAAUGUUAUUAAAAAAAGGAGGGGAAAAUAUUGAUGGAGUUGAAGACGACAGAAGCUGGCCUAAUUUCAUAAGUCUUCAAAUUCUAUGCAACUUGAGUGUCUCCAAAAUUUAGAAUUUAAAAAUUCGUCCCAAGCCUAACUUUUGUUUACUUAAUUAAUCAAAUGUCUGCCGUGCUAUUAGACCAUCCAACCUCCAUCCUCCCUAUAAAUACCCUCAAAUCUUCAAACCAAGACCAUUCACAUUUUCACAUCUCCCCUCACUCACCUCCUCUUCUCUUCUUCGUCUCGAUCCUCUCCCCAACAUGAAGUCCCUAAAGCUCGUUAUUCUCAUGCUGGCCCUGCUCUUGGUCAUGGCUGAUAUACGCUCAGUCUCAUCAGCUGAAGAAGAAGACUUCAUGUUUCAUCUAGACCAGGAUGACAGCAUCGCUGCUGAAGCUGAAAAUUCUGAUCAACUUCCAUUACUUGAAAGCGAGCAGCCGAUAUCGCUUAGGGGGACUAGCCGCUUUCUGACGGAGGCGGCCCGGAUCAAGGUGACGUGCGACAAGUACCCUACAGUAUGCCGAGCCAAGGGAAGUGCAGGGAAGUACUGCUGCAAGAAGAAGUGUGUGAAUGUGAGGACGGACAGGCUCAACUGUGGGGCGUGUGGGAAGAAGUGUAGGUACUCUGAGAUUUGCUGCAAAGGGGAGUGCGUCAACCCUUCUUCAGACAGGAGGAAUUGUGGGGGCUGCGGCAAGAAGUGUAAGAAAGGGAGUCUCUGCGUGCAUGGGAUGUGCAGCUACUCGUAGAUUUCUGAGCAUUGUUGCUUUACAUGGUAAAAUUUCUAUAUUCAUGUAACUAUGGCGAGCCAUCACCAUUUGAUGGGCUUGCAAAUCCGAGUUUUUUCAUUUGUUUUUUUUUUUUUUCUUCUGAUUCUUCGUGAGGUCUUUACUGGUAUAGAUGACAACAAUGAGCUAGUUCACAGUGCCUGAAAUCCAAGACACUUCUUCUCUGCCGGACUGGCCGCUUCCUGCUCAUUACUGAGCAAGGAGAGAAGGAUUGCAGGAACUGUGGAUGGAGUGUGUAGUUACAAAUAAUAAUUGCAUGUAUACUUCAUAUGAUGGAAAGCGGAUCGUGUUGAUGAUUCGUUCAAUAAAAGGAACAUAUGGGAUAUGCUAUUAUCCUCCAUUGUUGAAGUAUGAUAUCUUGCUUUUGUUGGCUAUAAAAAAUUACUCAACAGAAAUCAGAGAUAAUAAUACAAAUUAAAAAGAUACAAUGCAAAUCUCUUAAUCUUCUUAAGAACAUAAAGAUUACAUAAUCCACCAAUAGAGGUACACAGAAGUUUUAACCUAAUUUAAUAUGAUCAUAUCCACGUGAAUUCUUAAUAAUCUAUUGUAAUAUAAAAAAUAUUAUAAAGAACAUGAUAAGAUAUAAUGAUUAGAUUUCAAAAUAUCUUACAUUCUUUUCCAAAAUAUCUUAUUUUUUUCGAUUAAACUAAUGAUCCCCUCUUCCUCAUCUAAAAUAUUUAUAGAUAUUCUUAAUUUAUAAAAGUUCCAUUAUGAUGAUAUAUGAAUUUAAAAUAUGUUUUUUUUAAUGAUAUUAGGAAUUCGUGACAUUUUUAAGUGCAAAACAAACCGUACCCUUGACUUCUAUUCCCUUUCUAUGUAUGUGCGUAUCUCAUCCUUAAUUGAGUACAAUAUUUGUUCCCGCUGAUAUAACCAAAAAAAUCUUCAGCCUAUUGUUUGUAUGGGACGUCCAAAUUAUAUGAAUGGAACUAUAGCUCUGUUGGCUUUUAGCUGAUGUAGAUUGUCAGUACUAUUUGUUGCAAUUAGAAUUACCUGGAAAUUGAGAACACUAUUGUAAAAUACCAAAAUUACAUGAAUAUUGGUUAAAUAGUAAAAACAUACAUCAUUAUUGUAUGCUUGGUUUAUGCGGUUUGUGUGCAUAUCAUUCUCUUUAAACAAAUUGUCGGGUUACAACAAUAUGUUCGAAAAUAGAUCAUCCAAACGAGAGUUCUUAGGAUAGGUUAAUUGUGGAAUGUGAUGACAAAUAUUAUGAAAGAUUUUAUUUGCUCUCACUAAAUAUGAAUUGACUUUUGAUAAGACGAUCAAAAACUUGAUUCACAGGUUAGUAUUGUAUAAUAUAUUGAUAUAUUAUUAUCUUAUUUGUUAAAACUCACGUGCAACCCUAUAGAAGUUGGCUCAUGAGACAAAAUCAUGACUAAGCUUUAAUAUAAAUAUAACUAUGUAAGUAACUAAGGACAUUACCCAUAAGAAGUAAUUACCAUGAUAUACAUGAUCGCUUGGAUUUUUGUCGUUUAUUGGAUCAAAACAAAAUUUAUAACCUAAUUCACUAUUAUAUAACAAUUUGUACCCAAUCAAAAAGUGGUUUUAGUACAAACUACUGUAGUAUAGUGGUUUUUAGGUAUCGUCCACAAGGAUGGAUUAUUCUCGGUAAUUAAGACUUGAACGAGAUGAUAAGGAAUGAUGGUGAUCAAAUGAAAUUUACUUGAAAUUGCAUGAUAAAAUCUCAAGAUAGCAAUGUAUUCAAAUUGAAUUGAAAAUGAAGUGUAAAAGAGAAGAAAAUUAAUAAGAUGUGAGAUUCUCGGAGUAAGGAUUUUCUAGAGAGCAAUUUCCAUGGUGAAUAGAUGUUAAGAUCUAAUUUUCAUCAAGUUAGAUUGAAAACCUAAAUUUUCAUCUAAACCGAUUUUUGAUUUAGCUUUAGAUCUAGAUAUAAUUUCUCUUCAAAUUAGGUAAUCUAAUCCAAGAGAUCAAUUUGAAUCAUAUAUUCAAUUCAUCUUAAAUUAUCUUCCAAUGAUUCACACAAUGCAACUAUUCAAUUUCAUCAAAUCUAGCAUUAAGAAUUUGAUGAAUCUACCUAACUUGCAUUGUAGUAAUCAUCCAAGACAAUUUGAAGAGAAAAAUCCCCAAAUUUCAAUUAAUCAAUCAAUUGGAUCAAAUUACCUUAGCAAUUCAAGCUCAAUUCUCUAAUUCACCAUAGAUCUUGCCUCUAGAUCCUCCCUCCUCCGAGAAAAACGAGAUUUAGUCACUCAUGCUUGGAGAUUUGAUCUCACAAGGCAUGUUUGGCUACCGAGAAAAUAAGAGAAACUGAAGGAAAGUGGAGAAUUAUAUAGAGAGAAGAAGUAUGAAAAGUUCUACAAUUAGAAAAUGAAUCAAAAGUAAGGUUUUUAAAUGAGUAAAUCCCGUUUCUAUUUAUAGGCCAAGGUAAAAAGGACACUCAGCAACAUUUUAGAGGUCUUUCGGAUGCUUCUUCAUCAAGGAAUCUGGAAAGAAUGCAUUUUCGCACGAGCCCCUAGCAAUCUCGCAUGAUGGUGCGAAGUGGAGGAUCCAUCAGCUUCAAUUUCGUUCUUCUGGAGCAUUUCGCAUGAUUGUGCGAAAAUUUCGCAUGGUCAUGCGAAAUCACUUUUUCAUAAUUUCCCUAUGUGCUGCAGCCACAACCUUUCUAUUUCAUUUCGCAUGAUUGUGCGAAAAUUUCGCAUGAUUGUGUGAAAAUUUCGCAUGGUCAUGCGAAAUUGAAAAUCAUGCUAUUUCGGCUCCUCUUUGCAAUUUCUCUCAUUUCUUCAUGUUCAAUCCAUCUCCACCACCUUCAAUUAAGCUCCAAAUCCCAAUCCAAACUGAUUGCAUUGCUUCUUUCAUUAUGCAUUUGGAUCAUCAUCAACUUUAUUUGUUUUCUUCAAUUUGAUUAAUCUCUUUUGUCACCAAUUUAUCAAAAUUAUACCUUAAAAUGACUCCAAAACUUCAUAAAACUUGUUAGUAACUCUUGCAAGGGCAACAACAUGCUAAUUGAGUGUUUUAGGUAUAAUUACUACUCAAAAGAUGUGAAACUCAUGAGAAUUAUUAUCUAAAAUAUGCUCUUUUUGAGUAGUAAUCAUUCCCCCCAACCAACACAUGCUAGUCCCUUAGCAAUGGUAUAACAAAAGAAAACAAAAAUAAUACCAAACAAAAGAAAUCAUAAGUCACAUAAGAAAAUCAUUUGAAAAAAAAAAAUCUUUGAAAUUUCCAUAGCAUAAAUGGUUGAUAAACAAGCACACCCUACUAUCCAUAGGUAUCAACAAAAUCCCAACUUAUUUACUAUCUCUAAUAGAAAGAAUAUCAUGGAAGUCAAGGUAUCAAAAACAUAUCCAUUUUCAUUUCCCAAACAAUCUUUCCAAACAAGUCUUGAGUGUAAUUAAGCUAACUCCCGAAUAUAGUACUCAAAACUAAUCCUCCCCCCCAGCCUAACUCAAAUUAUCUCAAACAACAAAAAUCACUCUCUCAUAGGUCAAGAACGCACCUAUCUUUAUUUUAUUAUUUUUUUUUUCAAAGGACUUAUUGUAGGAGUGCAAUGCUAAAGGUAUCUCCAAGUAUAUGGUCCAUGUAGCGGGGAUUCAUCGAUGACUCCCAACCAUAAGGCAUAGGGCACCAAGUUUAUAGGACUAUUUAACCAGCCACUAACUUCUCAGACUUCACCCCGGACUCCUCAAAUUAGGAUCCAAUACCUUAGCACCUACAAUUGAGCUCAUACUCCACCUAUCCACCCAUGUAACAAGCAUUGAGGUCGGUGGCUCCCAACCAAAAUGGCUUAGGGCACCAGGCUUUAAAGACCUUUGGGCCAUAUACCCCUCGGACCUUGCUCAGGUUUCAAGGCAAGCAUAACUCAACCUUUUUAUUCAUCAACUUUUUUUUUUUCAAUUGGCCAUAUUGGCCUCUUUUUAAGGUGUCUCAACUCAAUUCAAGAGUAAUCAAUGUUACAAGACAAUUAAGUCCAAGUCUUAAGGUUAGAAUAGUUUUUCAUCUUAUAUCCGGGGUCUAAAGUGCACAGUAUGUGUCAAGACUCAAAUAGAAAUGACCCUUUGGAAAGUGAAGACUUCAAAGUCAAAUCAACUUUAAUUCACAUAACCAAUCUUCUAAGAUCAAGCAAAUAAGCUAGUAUUCUAAAUCAACUUUUUCCAAGUUAGGUUUGCUCAUUUAUCAAUCACAAAUGCUAUAGUCAUCUAAAAAAAAAUCUCACCAAAUAAGUCACAAAUGUGAUUUAUGAAAAAAAAAAAUUAUAGAAAAACUAAUAAAACUAAUAACAUAUUUCCUUCUCUUCAUUUUUAACCCUCCCCCCAACCUAACUUGUACAUUGUCCUCAAUGUGUAAUGAAAAUAUACAAAGAAAGGAAGGGAAGAUACCUCAAUCUCUCAUGAAUUUCAGCUUCAAUAGCUAAAACAAAAAUAAGACCACAAAUGAGAAUUGUCGGAUAUAAAUGACAUAAGAGAAGAAAAUAUGAAAACAAAUCUAUUAAAAACCAAAAAAAAACUAUGUUAGAAACACAAUGUAUGGAGUAAAAUCAAGGUAUAGAUGAUGACAAUGUCCAAAGAAAACAUGAUUUCAAUGAUAAGUUAAAGAUUAUCAUGGAGUUUUUGAAAAUUUCACACAAGUGUGCAAACUAGACAAGAAGGUGAAGUGUGUUGCAACCACUUUCUUCUUUUGAAAGAACUUGGCACAAUCAUGCGGAAAUUUGCAUGUACAUGCGAAUUAGUCAAGAAAGUUCUAUCUUAUUAUAACCUUCAACAAAAUUUCACAUAGUCAUGCAAAAAUUCGCAUGCUGAUGCGAAAUGCUCAAAAGGGUUCAUUUUUGCAACUAUCAUUUUCAGUUUUUGCACAGUCAUGCGAAAAUUUCGCAUGACUAUGCAAAUUGUGAUAGAAACUCAUUUUGCACAUUUCCAAAGGUAUGAAAACUCCCCUGUUUUGGCAUGAAAACUCCUCUGUUUUGGCAUGAUUCCCCUUGGCAUGACUGUGCUGUUUUGGCAUGACUGUGCAAAAAUGGUGAUGGACCAUAAAAACUCAUUUUUCCUUUGCUUCAUGCAUUCCAUCCAUCCGGAAAGUCCUUCAAAACACAAAUCAAAGAAUUGAGAUGAAUUUAUUUAAUGGAAACUAAAAAAAAUCAAAAUAAAAUAAAAAAAUCAAAAUUCAAAGGAGACUAAAGAAAUGAGAAGCCAUUGGGCUAGCUAGCCAUUGACAUGACUAAGCCCAUUAACAUUUGCAUCAAUACUCAAUUUGGAUAUGGCUUGCAAACAAUGAAUGGACCAACUCCUUGGUACUUAAGCUUUCCCGGAAAAAUAUGUGGCUUGAAAUAGCCUUCUUUGAACUUGUUCUUUUGUAUAAGUUGGUCAUGCCAUUCCUUGAGUUUCUUUUUCAUGGUCUUUGGAUUAUUUUUCAUACCAUGCUUCAUGGUUUUCACUUUCUUGAAACUGAAAGACCAUUUCAUUAACUUCAAAGGUUGAAUUUCUUCAUUGAUCCUCCAAACUUCAAUCCGUUCAUUGGAAAUUACUUCACCAAGUUUUGAAAAAUUAUCUUCAACCUUUUCUUUCACUAGCUCUUCCAUAGGCAAUUCAAUCAAAUAAGCCUCCUUAAGUUCCUCAUCCUCUUUGGUACCAUGCUUCUUAUAUGAAUGAAAAAUGUUCAGCUCAAUUGUCCUGUUACCAAAGGUAAGUUGCAUCACUCCACUUUGACAAUUAAUCAAUGCAUUUGCUGUGGCAAGGAAAGGUCAGCCAAGUAUAAUAGGAACAUGGUUGAGUCCACUAGUUCCUUGUUCCGUAUCAAGCACCACAAAAUCAACCAGAUAAUAGAAGUUAUCGAUUUGGAUCAACACAUCUUCAAUAAUUCCUCUUGGAAACUUAACCGAUCUAUCCGCCAAUGAAAGUGUGAUGGAAGUAGACUUUAGUUCUCCAAGCCCCAAUUGCUUAUAUAUCGAGUAAGGAAGAAGAUUCACACAUGCACCCAAGUUUAAAAGUACUCUUUUCACAAAAGUGUUGCCAAUCUUCACUGAGAUAGUUGGACAUCCCGGAUCCUUAUACUUGAUUGGAGUCUUGCAUUGGAUGAUUGCACUAACUUGUUCAGUCAAUAAAGCUUUCUUUUUCAAAUGCAUCCCUCUCUUUAUGGUACACAAAUCCUUAAGAAACUUGGCAUAGGUUGGAACUUGUCUUAUCAUGUCAAGGAGUGGUAUAUUAACUUUGACUUGCUUGAGAACUUCAAAAAUUUCUGGAGCAUUAUUUACCACUUUCUUGGAUUGAAGAGCCAUGGGAAAAGGUGGAGCUAAGAGCAUAUCUUUCUUCUUAACCUCUUCUUUAACAAUCUCAUCUUCCUUUGAUCUAUUAUCAUCAUUCACCUCUUUUCCUUUUUCUUGUUCUUUCACAUUUUCCUUUUGUUCCCCUCUUUUAUUCUCUUUUGGUUUUGGCAUAGGUUGAUCAACUUGCUUACCACCUCUUAAGGUAAUGACUGCUUUGACUUCAUCCUUCUCAAUAGAACUUUCACUUGUCUCUCCAAUUUCAUGGACUCCACUUGGAUUUUGUUGGGGUUGUGAAGAGAAUUUUCCUUUUUCUUGCACCGUAUGCAUGCUUGUGAGUUUAGAAAUAACAAGUUGCAUAUUAUCAAUCUUUUGUGUGAGAUUGGUUUGCAAGCUAUCAAAUUUCUGAUUGAAAGAUGUCUCCACAUGAUCUAUCAUUUGGUUUACUUGAGUAUUGAUAUUCUUUUGAUCACCAAUAAAAUUUCCCAAAAUUUUACUCAAGUUUACAAUAGCUUGCUCAACUAAAGAAACUUGUUGUGGAGAGUCUUCCAUGAAUUGUUGGCUUUGUGAGUGUUGCCUUGAAGAAAAUUGCUCUUGUUCACAAUUCCAUGACAUGUUCAGAUGACUCUCAACAAGUCUUUCCCCCAUGGUUGGUAUUGUAGGACAAUCACUCACUUCAUGUUCUAUAGAUUGAUAACUAGAACAUUGUUCCAUGUAAAUUGGAUUAUCAUAUAUUGCAUUCACCUCAUGAAAUCCCUUAGCUUCAAGUUCCUCUAGCCUUUUUGUCAAAGCUACUAUUUUAGCUUGUAGAUCAACAUCUUCAUUCAACAUAUACAUUCUCCCUUUUGAAUUGCUUUGAGACUUAGACUUGUGUAAAUCCCUUUCAUGUGGUUCAUCCCAUGACCUUGAUAUUUCAGCCACAUAAUUCAAAAAUUCAAAAGCUUCAUCGGGACUUUUGCUCAUAAAGUCACCUCCACACAUGGUUUCUAGCAAUUGCUUCAUAGUUGGCGACAUGCCCUCAUAGAAGUAACUCACCAACAUCCAUGUGUCAAAACCAUGAUGAGGACAAGCAUUGAUUACUUCCAUAUAUCUUUCCCAACAAGUAUAAAAUUUUUCAUUGUCCAAUGUCACAAAGUUGGUAAUUUGCCUCUUCAAGCCACUUGUGCGAUGUAUGGGAAAAAAUUUCUUCAAGAAGGUUGUUUGUAGUUCCAACCAUGACCUUAUGCUUUGGGGCCUCAAUGAGUUGAACCACAACUUAGCCUUAUCCUUCGAUGUGAAUGGAAAAAGCUUCAAUCUCAUAAGCUCUAUGGAUGCAGUCCCUUCUUGAAAAGUAUGACAAACUUCUUCAAAAUCCUUUAUGUGAGUAUAAGGAUUCUCAUUCUCCACUCCAUGAAAUUGAGGUAGAAGGGGUACCAAGUGAGUUUUUAUCACAAUAGGCUCAUUAGGAAGAACUAUACAUGAUCCCAUGCCUAUCCUUUGAGGAUGCAUAUAUUCUCUCAUUGAUCUAGACAUGUGAGAAUUGCAAAUGUUUGGUCCUUGUUGAGUUUGUUGAUUUUCCCCUUGAUUUUCCAUUUCCUCAACAAUUGGAUCACAAACCAAAAAUGAUUAGCAAUAUAAGUCCUUUUCAAUCUCUCCCUUGAGUUUUAUUCUAGCAUGCAAUGGAGAGCCUACAAAACAAGCUAGGAAAAAUCAAACCAAAACAAAAAGAACAAAAUAGAAAAAUAAAAGAUAAAAAAUGGAAUAAAAAAAUAAUUAAAAAACAUGGAGAAUCGGUAAAGAGAACUUCACCAAUCUUGUGAUGUGGAUCACAAGGGCUAAUCCUCACCAAAGAAAAUGCCUCAAUCACCUUGGCACCAUCCCCGGCAACGGCGCCAUUUUUGAUCGCUCGGAUUUUUGUCGUUUAUUGGAUCAAAACAAAAUUUAUAACCUAAUUCACUAUUCUAUAGCAAUUUGUACCCGAUCAAAAAGUGGUUUUAGUACAAACUACUGUAGUAUAGUGGUUUUUAGGUAUCGUCCACAAGGAUGGAUUAUUCUCGGUAAUUAAGGCUUGAACGAGAUGAUAAGGAAUGAUGGUGAUCAAAUGAAAUUUACUUGAAAUUGCAUGAUAAAAUCUCAAGAUAGCAAUGUAUUCAAAUUGAAUUGAAAAUGAAGUGUAAAAGAGAAGAAAAUUAAUAAGAUGUGAGAUUCUUGGAGUUAGGAUUUUCUAGAGAGCAAUUUCCAUGAUGAAUAGAUGUUAAGAUCUAAUUUUCAUCAAGUUAGAUUGAAAACCUAAAUUUUCAUCUAAACCGAUUUUUGAUUUAGCUUUAGAUCUAGAUCUAAUUUCUCUUCAAAUUAGGUAAUCUAAUCCAAGAGAUCAAUUUGAAUCAUAUAUUCAAUUCAUCUUAAAUUAUCUUCCAAUGAUUCACACAAUGCAACUAUUCAAUUUCAUCAAAUCUAGCAUUAAGAAUUUAAUGAAUCUACCUAACUUGCAUUGUAGUAAUCAUCCAAGACAAUUUGAAGAGAAAAAUCCCCAAAUUUCAAUUAAUCAAUCAAUUGGAUCAAAUUACCUUAGCAAUUCAAGCUCAAUUCUCUAAUUCACCAUAGAUCUUGCCUCUAGAUCCUCCCUCCUCCGAGAAAAACGAGAUUUAGCCACUCAUGUUUGAAGAUUUGAUCUCACAAGACAUGUUUGGCUAUCGAGAAAAUAAGAGAAACUGAAGGAAAGUGGAGAAUUAUAUAGAGAGAAGAAGUAUGAAAAGUUCUACAAUUAGAAAAUGAAUCAAAAGUAAGGUUCUUAAAUGAGUAAAUCUCGUUUCUAUUUAUAGGCCAAGGUAAAAAGGACACUCAGCAACAUUUUAGAGGUCUUUCGGAUGCUUCUUCAUCAAGGAAUCUGGAAAGAAUGCAUUUUCGCACGAGCCUCUAGCAAUCUCGCAUGAUGGUGCGAAGUGGAGGAUCCAUCAGCUUCAAUUUCGUUCUUCUGGAGCGUUUCGCAUGACUAUGCGAAAAUUUCGCAUGGUCAUGCGAAAUCACUUUUUCAUAAUUUCCCUAUGUGCUGUAGCCACAACCUUUCUGUUUCAUUUCGCAUUAUUGUGCGAAAAUUUCGCAUUGUCAUGCGAAAUCGAAAAUCAUGUUAUUCUGGCUCCUCUUUGCAAUUUCUCUCAUUUCUUCAUGUUUAAUCCAUCUCCACCACCUUCAAUUAAGCUCCAAAUCCCAAUCCAAACUGAUUGCAUUGCUUCUUUCAUUAUGCAUUUGGAUCAUCAUCAACUUUAUUUGUUUUCUUCAAUUUGAUUAAUCUCUUUUGUCACCAAUUUAUCAAAAUUAUACCUUGAAAUGACUCCAAAACUUCAUAAAACCUGUUAGUAACUCUUGCAAGGGCAACAACAUGCUAAUUGAGUGUUUUAGGCAUAAUUACUACUCAAAAGAUGUGAAACUCAUGAGAAUUAUUAUCUAAAAUAUGCUCUUUUUGAGUAGUAAUCAAUACAUAAUUGUUCAUUACCAAGGAUUUAAGCAUGUGGGUGAUCACAUAAUACGUUAUAAAGUAAAGUUGUGUCACUCACAUCAUAUAAUUAGCUUAACAAUCACAUCACAUAAUUACUUUAACAGUUGUCAUGUCUUUAUUCCAUUGGACAUUCUCUUCUCCAAAGAGAAGCACUCUGAUAUGUCUUUCUUUAAUUUUCUCUCUUCCUUAUGAUAAAAUUUGAAGCCAUGUUGAUAAAAAUAGAAAGAAAGAAAGGGAUUCUUCUAUCUAUAAUCCAGCUAGAAUAUUGAAGUAAAAGUUUUGUGCAACGUGGGUCAAAUUGAGCAUGCACUAGAGGUGAUACAUGUUAUAUACCCCCAUGAAUUCAAAUUUAAGUUUUCCUUCCAACCAAUUUCAUUAAGAAUAGUUAUAUUCAAGUAGUGGAAUAUUGGAAGUACAUUCAAUAUUUUCAAUUAUUAUAUAAUUAUAUAUGUGAAAUAUUAUUAAAAUAUGCACUAGGUAGUGGCAUAUGUGCAUUUCAAUUUCAAUAAUAUUUAUAUGAUUGAUAUAUGUUAUGCUCAUUAUCGCGAUUGCUUAGUAAAACAUAUUAUAGCUUGAAAUAAUUUAUACAUCAAAAUUACUAGCUACACGUGAAUACAGAAACACUAAGCUUCUAAUUUUCUUUAUUUCAAAUCAAUCGAUUUCUUCUUAUGGGUCAGAUAUUCAGUGUUUCGAGACUAUGACCCAUUUCACCUUAUGAUCAGAGCAGUACCAUAGCUAUAUCCAUAUCCUGAUUUUGUAGACUUGAUGACCUACCCAUUUUGAGCCUGACAUGACACCACACAUUAGUACCAUUAUAUGACCUUACCAUCGUUGUUCAUGUUAGCAUACUAUAGUACCAUUGCCUAUUCUUUCCAUCUUUUCUUUGAUCUAACCAAGUAGAGUCCGAGAUGGUUAGACCUGAGGUGAGCUCUACAUGAUGAUAAAUGGAUCAUGAUGAAAGAGUGGUUUGACUGUUUGAUGAUAUUGCUGAGACAGAGGGGUUAUCAUGGAGCAUCCAGAUUUGAGCCAUUACACAUGACUUCAGAGAGUCGAGAUGACUAAAGAUAGUGAUUUUAUGAGACGAUGGUGAGUGACUUAUGAUGAUAGAGUGAGGUGAUUGUCAAAGAGCUUUGAUGAUUAUCACAAAGCAUCAGUGGGAGCUUUCACACUAUUUCAAAGAAGUUGACAUGACUAUGUUUGAUAGAUGUUAGUCUUUAGUAUUGACCAUGUGAGAUCUUGAGGGUGUGAUGUCUCUGGUUGUGGUUAAAUGAUGGGUGGCCAUUGUUUCAUGAGCUCAUUUACCCUAUUUACUUUAUCACCAUCGCAUAUAGAGUUACCUGUUGCUAACCCUUUGAGCCUCACACGAGCACCAUAGACUUUAAUUUCAUCACUUCAUUUACAUAUUACAUCGGGUUGGGGACCCUAUAGUGUUUACAUGCUUUGAUUAGAUACGUCACAAGUUUUAGACCUGACAUACAUAUUCAGGCCUUAUCUCUCACCCUUCAUUGUAAUAUUUUCCACUUUGACACUAUCUCGUCACUUUUUCCAGCAUCACUUAUCACCACUUAUGAUAUUCAUUCUCUAUCUUUUCUCUAAUCAUUGUUUAAUCGACAUUAUCCUUGUUUCACCUUGAGUGGUGGUUUUUCACACGUCAUUGCAUGGAGGAUUGUCACAUUUUUUUCCCCCGUUCACCCCAUGGGCAGUGGUUCAAAGAUCUCAGUUUGGGAGGUUGUCUUGUUAGUGAGGAUUCAUGUUACAUCCAUAUGUGGAGAGGGUUUGAUCAUUUGGGUAUGUAUUUUCAUUGGAGGUCAUUCAUUAUUGAUCAAAGUAUGCGCAAAAAAAAAACAAAAAACAAAAAACAAAACAAAACAAAGAAUAUAAAAGAUAGCACAUUCUUCAUUGUAUCGUUUUCCAUUGACCACAUGUAUGGAUGUGUUGGUUUGCUUCAUUGAGUUUAUGCGUUAGAGAGAGUUCAUAUGGGAGUUUCUUUUUUAGAUUCUAUCUUAGUAUAUAUUUGGGUUAGAGUAUGAGUCACCCAUUCGAUUUUCGUGAGAGGCAAGCUACAUUUUUUUAGGAUUUCUGGAUUUUUACCCUAUUCGUCAUUACAUCCAUUUUUAUGUGACUACUUUCCAUGUUUAGAUGUAGAUUGACCAUCACUCACUUUCCUAUUUUUUUUGUCUUCUUAUAUCUUUAUUUUAUUCUUUCAUUUCACUCUACUUUAUCUGAUUUCUUUAUUUUAUCAUCCUACUUGAUGUUUGACUUGGGUUCAACAUCCACACUUUAUUCUUGCUUAUUUGAUAUGUCAUUUAUUUAUUAUCAUUUUUCAUGUGGGAAUCCUUAUGUCUGUGACUCAUAAUGUUUUCUACGCAUUGCGUCUCAUGCAUGAGGGGUAUGGGGAUUAUAUCAUUGGGAUUAUUGAGCCUAGUUUCCUCUUGUUUCUUUCACCCUAUUACCUUAGCCUACGUUACGUCCCAUGUCUUAAGACCACCCUGAGGUCGUCACUUCACACAUUGUACUUGACAACUCACACAUGGGCAAUACUUGAGAUUGGUUGGAGAUUAUUUCUUAAAGCAUGAUGAAUGAGGAGCUAUGAUAUGAUUUACAUUGGGGUAUACCCCGCUCAUCGAUGACAGUUUCUUUUGGGAUGAUAUCUUGCACUGGGGCAUAGUUAGUUACUUCUUCACUUGGAUUGUGAUGGAUUGAGAGUUAUGGAAUGACCCUACACUAGGACAUUUUCAGAGAGCACUUUUAUUGGAGAUACAGUCACUCUACUUGAUACUCUACAUUGGGACACAUUCCUCUCAUCAAUGGUUGAUUGUUGAGAUGACGGUUUAUUUUGAGACACGGUUGCUUUAGAGAUUGUGUAUGAUGGACACAACCACUCUGUUAUUUUUAUGGAGGACAGGGUGAUUAGGAUUUGUUUAUAUUAUAUUUGUAUUUUCAUUUUCAACAUUAAGUGAUAAGAUUGACCUUGUUCUAAGGACACAUACUGAGACAUAGCUCUUUCAUUGAUGAUGGACUUUGAUUUAUCUUGGAGCAUGAUCACUUCAAAUAGUUUAUACUAGGACAUAGCCACUUCAUUCUCAUUCAUAGAGCACAUGGAUUUUGAUUCAUAUGAGUUUUUUCUUCUGAUUAUCAAUUAUUAUACUUAAUGAAUAUUGUUUGAUCUUCGUUUUGUCCUUUGAUAUGCAUGUGAUAAUUUUAUACUUGAGCUAACCUUGUUUCCAUGAUAGCGCAUUAUUAUUUGCUGUUAAGAUAUGCUCCCACUCCUACUUCACUUAUUUAUUCGUUCUCAUCCUCGAUUUGUUUUAUUAUUCAAUCAUUUUAUUAGUAUCCAUCGAUUUCCUUAUCAAUUGUCACGUUUGUUUAACCUUAUUUAGUAUAGACCCAUUUUUAGAGGCUUAGAGGGGUGUUAUGGUCUUUAUCGUACCUUUGCAAUAAGCAACCUGACCUCCGAACCCAGGUUUGGUUUUUCACAAACCGUCUUUUCCAAAUAAGAAGUCACACUUAAGGUUUUUUUUUUUCCCUUAAAAUAAAAUAAAAUUAAAUUAAGUGGCGAUUCCAAAUCUUUUCUAAAAAAAAACCAUAUUUUUCAAUAAAUAAAAAAAAUGAGUUUGUCAUUGAGUAGGAACGCAUCGAGCAAAAAUAUGGGAUCCACAUCAACCCAUCUACCCAAAAAAUAAUAUAUAUAUAUAUAUAUAUAUAUAUUUGAAGUAAAUUUUUAUUAUUAUUUUACACUCUCCAAAUAAUUUCUUUAUCUUAUAUCUAAAUUUAUUUCUAUGUACUCAAUUUUAUAUUUUUGUAAUUAAAUCUUAUGCAUUUGUAUCAUCAUUCAACAUUUAGAUUUAAUCAUAUACUUGAGCAUAGUUAUAGACUUCAAAAUUUGUUUUAAAUUUAUUUUUUUAAAUCAAAUUUUCAUAAAUAAAAGUGAAUCUUGUUGGGUACGCAUGUAAAAAACACAAAUCCAUAAUUUCGUAGAUAUACAAAUUGGGCAAAUAUUUCUUUUUCCUAAAAGAAAAUGGUAUACUUUUACCAAAUGGAACAUUCCAAUUUCUUCUAUAAAAUAUAGUCGAUUCUCUUACACUAAUCAAAAUUAAAGAUAUUUUACUGUAAUGUUUCACGCUUGCUUGAGAUUGGAUCAAUUUUUCACUUACACAUUUUUAUUUUUUCAAAGAUGCCCUUAGAUUAAUGCAUGCGAAUGUGUACAAUCAACUGCGCAGACAUUCCAUGUUAACAAAAGUCAAGAAGAUAGGCUAGUUGAAAAUAAGUGCGUCCAUAACGGUUUCUAAGACUCAUACGGUGUUUGUUUUUUUAAUUUUUUAUAAAAAUUAAUUUUUAAAAAAAAAUUAGAUUGUUUAUUUUUUUACUUUUUCAUAACUUAUUAUAAACUUUGUACUAAAUAGAAAAAAUCAAAAUAUAUAAUUUUUUCUAAAUAGAAAAAAUAACAUAUUAGUUUUUUUUUUACUUUUUAAUACUUAAUAAAAAUAAAAUAUUAUAAAAACAAACAACCUAAUAUUUAACACUAUUAACCAUUAAAGUUCUAUUUAAAAUUAAGUAAAAAAACAAAUAUCAUUUUAGUGUUCAGAUAAAUGGAGACAGACCCACCGCGUGUAAUGGGCAAUUGGGCGCACCAAAUUUGUAAUCCUAAGGCCUAACACCAAGUUCUGUGUUGACCUAUUAUACUUGUCAAAUGGAUGUAUGUCGAUAUGAGAAAUGUUUUUAAAAAUAAUUUUGAGAAACAAAAUUUUAGAAUAAUUUUUAAAUAUUGUGCUAUAAUAUUUUAUAAAGUAGAAGUUUGUUUAGAAGCCCUAAAAUAUUUUUACUUCCGAUGUAUGUAACACUUAAAUUUUUUUAUUAAAAUAAUUAUUUUCAAAUAUUAAAAAUAUUAAAAACAUCUCCUAAAAUCAAUAUCAAACAUAUUUUAAAUAUGUUUUAAAAUGUAAUUUUGCAUAUAAUAUUUUAUAUUUUUAUUAUUAGUAUUUAUAUAAUUACUUUUAAAAUAGUUUUUAAAAAAUAAUUAAAAAUAAUUAAAAUAUUUUAUUUAAAAAUACCUUAUAAAAAACUUUGUCCCUUUUUCAUUAAAGAAUAGAAAAUUAUUCUAUAAACAUAGUAAACAAAGUGGUCUGAAUGCCCAGAUUGUCGCCCUAUUUUGGAAUUAUGAUGGGCGGCCUUUCUGUGGCAGCAGGAGGCUCAGUGGGCGGAAUGGAGCCCAUUUUGCAAGCAGGCCACAAAGUCGUUUGCUUUUCGUGAUUGUACUAGAAAUUUCUCUUGAUUUGAUGGCAAGAAAUCAUUGGUUUCAUUUCAAAUAUAUAAUCACGAGAAUAAGGUUUUGGAAAAUUAGACAUUUGUGAAGAUAUAAAUACAUAAAAUUUUAUCAGAAAUUGGUAGUUAAAAAAUGUUAUUAAAAAAAAGGAGGGGAAAAUAUUGAUGGAGUUGAAGGCGACAGAACCUGGCCUAAUUUCAUAAGUCUUCAAAUUCUAUGCAACUUGAGUGUCUCCAAAAUUUAGAAUUUAAAAAUUCGUCCCAAGCCUAACUUUUGUUUACUUAAUUAAUCAAACGUCUGCCGUGCUAUUAGACCAUCCAACCUCCAUCCUCCCUAUAAAUACCCUCAAAUCUUCAAACCAAGACCAUUCACAUUUUCACAUCUCCCCUCACUCCCCUCCUCUUCUCUUCUUCGUCUCGAUCCUCUCCCCAGCAUGAAGUCCCUAAAGCUCGUUAUUCUCAUGCUGGCCCUGCUCUUGGUCAUGGUUGCUAUACGCUCAGUCUCAUCAGCUAAAGAAGAAGACUUCAUGUUUGAUCUAGACCAGGAUGACAGCAUCGCUGCUGAAGCUGAAAAUUCUGAUCAACUUCCAUUACUUGAAAGCGAGCAGCCGAUAUCGCUUAGGGGGACUAGCCGCUUUCUGACGGAGGCGGCCCGGAUCAAGGUGACGUGCGACAAGUACCCUACAGUAUGCUUAGCCAAGGGAAGUGCAGGGAAGUACUGCUGCAAGAAGAAGUGUGUGAAUGUGAGGACGGACAGGCUCAACUGUGGGGCGUGUGGGAAGAAGUGUAGGUACUCUGAGAUUUGCUGCAAAGGUAAGUGCGUCAACCCUUCUUCAGACAGGAGGAAUUGUGGGGGCUGCGGCAAGAAGUGUCAGAAAGGGAGUCUCUGCGUGCAUGGGAUGUGCAGCUACUCGUAGAUUUCUGAGCAUUGUUGCUUUACAUGGUAAAAUUUCUAUAUUCACGUAACUAUGGCGAGCCAUCACCAUUUGAUGGGCUUGCAAAUCCGAGUUUUUUUUUUUUUUUUUUCUGAUUCUUCGUGAGGUCUUUACUGGUAUAGAUGACAACAAUAAGCCAGUUCACAGUACCUGAAAUCCAAGACACUUCUUCUCUACCGGACUGGCCGCUUCCUGCUCAUUACUGAGCAAGGAGAGAAGGAUUGCAGGAACUGUGGAUGGAGUGUGUAGUUACAAAUAAUAAUUGCAUGUAUACUUCAUAUGAUGGAAAGCGGAUCGUGUUGAUGAUUCGUUCAAUAAAAGGAACAUAUGGGAUAUGCUAUUAUCCUCCAUUGUUGAAGUAUGAUAUCUUGCUUUUGUUGGCUAUAAAAAAUUACUCAACAGAAAUCAGAGAUAAUAAUACAAAUUAAAAAGAUACAAUGCAAAUCUCUUAAUCUUCUUAAGAACAUAAAGAUUAAAUAAUCCACCAAUAGAGGUACAUAUGAUCAUAUCCACGAGCAUUCUAUUGUAAUAUAAAAAAUAUUAUAAAGAACAUGAUAAGUAUAAUGAUUAGAUUUCAAAAAUAUCUUACAUUCUUUUCCAAAAUAUCUUAUUUUUUUCAAUUAAACUAACGAUCCCCUCUUCCUCAUCUAAAAUAUUUAUAGAUAUUCUUAAUAAUUUUCUAUUUUAUAAAAGUUCCAUUAUGAUGAUAUAUGAAUUUAAAAUAUGCUUUUUUUUUAAUGAUAUUAUGAAUUCGUGACAUUUUUCAGUGCAAAACAAACGUACCCUUGACUUCUAUUCCCUUUCUAUGUAUGUGCGUAUAUCAUCCUCUAAAUAAUUGAGUGCAAUAUUUGUUACCGCUGAUAUAACCAGAAAAAUCUUCAGCCUAUUGUUUGUAUGGGACGUCCAAAUUAUAUGAAUGUGUAAACUGCAGAGAAAGAAAAUGAAUUUCUGUAUAUUUAUUCAUAACAUAAAUAUCUCUAUUUAUACAUGCUAUGCUAGUCUAUCUAAGGUAAGUCUCCUAUAUUUACAUCCUAUAAUCAAGCCUAUAAUCAAUACAUAAAUAAGGUAAGUCAACUAAUUGUUUCUAAUUCUGUAACACUCCCCCUCAAGCUGGAACAUAAAUGUUAAUCAUGCCCAGCUUGUUACAAAAAUAUUCAACCCGAGUUCCAUUUAACGCCUUUGUGAAAAUAUCUCCUAGUUGUUCUCUAGUCUUCACAUAACCUGUGAAAAUCAGAUUUUAUUGAAUCUUCUCACGAAUAAAGUGACAAUCUACUUCAAUAUGUUUAGUUCUUUCAUGAUAUACUGGAUUUGAGGCGAUAUGAAUAGUUGUUUGGUUGUCGCACCAAAGUUUUGCUGGCAUGGGAGUCUUUAUUCCAAUCUCAGUUAGAAGAUGAUACAACCACAUAAUUUCACACGUGGCUUGCACCAUGGCUCUGUAUUCUGAUUCUGCACUAGAGCGAGAUACCACAUUCUGCUUCUUGCUCUUCCAAGAUACAAAAUUCCCACCAACAAAGACACAAAAGCCCGUAGUGGAUCGUCCAUCAGCUUUGGAUCCAGCCCAAUCAACAUCUGUAAAACACUCAAUUUGAGCAUGUCCAUGAUUGUUGUACAACAUGCCUAGACCAGGAGCUCUAUUCAAAUAACAUAAAAUCUACUCCAAGGUUGCCCAAUGCUUCACUGUAGGUGCAAACAUAAACUAACUGACAAUACUGACUGAGUAAGCAAUGUCUGGGUGAGUCACUGUAAGGUAAUUCAAUUUCCCAACCAAUCUUUUAUAUCUUUCUGGAUUAUCAAAGGGAUCACCAUCAUCUUUCGUCAAAUGUACAUUAGGGAUCAUCGGUGUGCUACAUGGCUUGGCUUCCAUCUUUCCAGUUUCUGCAAGUUAGUCAAGAACAUAUUUCCUAUGUGACAAGAAGAUUCCCCUUUUGCUUCUUGAUACUUCUACUCCCAAGAAAUAUUUUAGCUCGCCCAAGUCCUUUGUGUGAAACUUGGAAUGCAUAAACAAUUUGAGAGAAGAAAUUCCUGCACAAUCAUUUCCUGUAAUGACAAUGUCAUCAACAUAAACAACGAGAAGAAUAAUACCAUUUGUUGACUGUCUAUAGAAGACUGAAUGAUCAACUUUGUUUUUGUUCUUCCCAAACUCUUGAAUCACCUCACUAAACUUGCCAAACCAAGCUCGGGGACCCUGCUUCAAUCCAUAGAGAGAUUUUUUGAGAUGACACACUUUCCCAUACUCUCCAUGAGCAACAAACCCAGGUGGUUACUCCAUAUAUAUUUCUUCCUGGAGAUCUCCGUGAAGGAAUGCAUUUUUUAUAUCCAACUGGUGCAAGGGCCAGUGCUGAGAAGCAGCAAUUGAUAUAAUCAGGCGGACUGAAGCAAGUCUAGCUACUAGAGAGAAAGUAUCAGAAUAGUCCGCCCUAUAAGUCUGAGCAUAGCCUUUAGCUACAAGUUUGGCUUUCAGUCGUGCCAAUGAGCCAUCAAGAUUAAUUUUUAUUGCAAAGACCCACUUACAUCCCACAGCGUUCUUUCCUAUUGGUAAAUCAACUAGAUUCCAUGUGUGAUUGACUUUUAGAGCUUGUAUCUCCUCAAGCAUUGCAUUAUACCAUCUAAGGUGAUUCAGGGCUUUCUUGACAAUUUUAGGAAUAGAGAUAGAAUCUAAAGAGGCAACAAAAGCCCUCAAGGAAGGAGACAAGUUAUCAUAAGAAACGAAAUUAGCAAUGGAAUAAACUGAUUUGCACUGACAUUUACCUUUAUGAAGACCAAUGGGGAGGUCAAGGUCACUGGGAGGAUCAGAUAACGAAGAAGUUGAUGCAGGACAUGUAUCUUUUGUCUCCUGACGCCUGGAGUAUUCCUGAACAAUUAGUGGCUUAGCUGGAGCAGGCAGUAAAUCAACAAUAGCGUGUGGUUGCUCAGAAGAAUCAGUGGGAGUACUUGGGGUGGUUACUUGAUAUAUGAGCCAAUUUUCACCCUUCCCAUCACUUUCUGAAUUUGGGGGUGAAGAAUAAAAAGGUGUAUCUUCUGAAAAUACCACAUCAGUCGAUACCACAUAGUUGUUGAGAUCAGGAGAAAAGCAUCAAUAACCUUUUUGAAGACGAGAAUACCUUAAAAACACACAUUUUAGGGCUUUGGGAUCUAGUUUAGUCAUAGAUGGCCUUACAUCUCGAACAUAGCAAAUGCUUCCAAAAAUUUGUGGUUCAACUGGAAAUAGAGGCUUCUUUGGAAACAAUAUACUGUAUGGGAUUUUAUCAUUGAGUACCGUAGAUGACAUGCGAUUAAUAAAAAAGCAAGCAAUAGAAAUUGCAUCAGCCCAAAACUGUUUAGGAACCUUCAUCUAAAACAAGAGUGCCCGGGUUGUUUCUAGUAAAUGUUUGUUCUUCCUCUCAGCAACUCCAUUUUGAGAAAGAGUAUCCACACAAGAGAACUGAUGAAGAAUCCCGUGUUGAGUCAUGUAAGUCUGAAAUGAGUUAGACAUAUAUUCUUUGCCAUUAUCACUUCUCAAUGUUCGUACAGAGACAUUAAACUGUGUUUUAAUCUCAGCACAAAACGCACAAAAAUGAGCGAAAACUUCUGAACGAUUCUUCAUAAAAUAAAUCCAAGUCGUUCAAGAAAAAUCAUCCACAAAUGUAACAAAAUAUCGAAAUCUAGUUUUAGAAGUAACAGGACAAGGUCCCCAAACAUCAGAGUGUACUAACUCAAAAAUAGAUUCAACCGUCUUAUUAACUCUUGGGCUUAACGAACUACGAUGAUGCUUUGCAAAAUGACAUGAUUCAUAAUUAAAAAAAGGUAAACUAUGAAACUGAGGACAUAACUUUUUUAACACUGGUAAAGAGGGAUGUCCCAAACAACAAUGAGCUUCAACUGAAAAAGCAAUGUUAGAACAAGCAACCGACCGAGGUACCCACGCAUCAAGAAUGUAAAGACCAUCAGAUACAUGUCCUUUACCAAUAAUCUGCUUCGUCAUAAGAUCCUGAAAAAGGCAAUGGUUAGGAAAGAAUGAGAUACAACAGUUCAGAUCUUUGGUAAGUUUACUGACAUAUAUCAAGUUAAAGGCAAGCUUAGGUAAACUUAGAACAGAUGACAAAGUGAUAGAGGAUGUUGGUUUGAUAGUCCCAGAACCCACAACAUUAGAGGUUGACCCAUCAGCAAUGGUAACAGGAAAAUGGGCUAAAUGUGAUCGAAAACUAGAGAAUGUUUUAGGAUUACGUGUCAUGUGAUCGAUGACACCUGAAUCAAUUACCCAUUUGUUUGAGGGGGAGAUAAGACAUGUUUUACCUGUCUCAGCAAGAGCAGUAACCAGAGUAGAUUUCUUCAAUGAUUCUUGAUACUGAGAGAAUUUUGCAAACUCAUCGACUGAGACCAUGACGGUCUUAUCAGAAGAACUUGAAAAAGUACUAGAGGUGGUGGCAACAUUAGCAAUCUGAUUUCUUUUAUUACGAUUUUGUAAUUUCUUGCAGUAUUUCUUGGCAUGGCCCAGCUCAUGAUAGUAGUAGCAAACAAUGUUGCUUGAAUCAUUGUUAUAGCUAUCAGAAGUCUUACUUCCUCCCCUGUUGUUUGAUUUUUUCCCAGUAUCAUUGCUUCCUCCUUUGGCAACAAGAACAUUAUUAGUCUGCUAGAUAGAUGAGGUACCUUCGGUACGCAAAAUUCUACUAAACACUUCUUGAAGUGAACCAAUCUCAGAAGUGGAAAGAAUUUGAGAUUUAGUAGUCUCAAAUUCAGAUGGAAGGCCAGCUAAAAAACUCAUUACCGGCCAUUUUUUUCUCUUUGAGUUUGUAGCACCUUAAUAUCAGUACUGAAAGGUAAAAGUACAAUUAACUCCUCAUAAGUCUUCUUAAAAUCCAUAAAAUAAGUUGUGAGAGAUUUGGCCUCCUUUUCAGCAUGACAAAGGCUUUGCACACAUCAUACAUUCGGGACAAAUUCCCUUUGCCAGAAUAUAAGAACUCCAGAUAAUCCAUUAAUUCUUUAACAAACUCACAAUAAUUAAGUAGUCCAACAAUUUCACUAUCAAUAGAAUUCCUUAUUUGUAGGAAUAAACGUGCAUCAUCCCUUAUCCAAGUCUUUCUAGUUUCAUCAUAAAGGGUUUCCAUGGUCAGGUGAUCAUCUUUUUCAACACUACGCAAAUAAACUCUAAUUGUCUUGCUCCAUUCCAAAUAAUUAGUGUCAUUCAAUUUAUGAUCAGUUAUUUUAGAUAGUGUUAGAACUAUUUCAGUUAUAGAAGCUUUGUUGUCAGUCAUUUUAACUGAUAUUCAAUCACCACAAUAAAUAUAAUUCCAGCAGCAAACCAGAAAUAGUUGAUACCCAAAAUGAAUUUCCACAAGGAAUCAUAAAACAAAUCAAAGGGACAGAACCUGCCAAGGAUAUGUUCCUCUCAACAGUUGAUCAAACGCCCGAGUGCCACCUGAGAAUGGCCGAAAAGAGAUGGGAAAUGUCGGAAAGUCAAAUCGAUGAAGAAACAACAGUCUCACGCGCUUCCACGCGUUGGUGCGUGAAAGUUGCUCCCGAAGCUUUGAUCGGCUCGUGAGACUCACGCGCGGCUCAUCUGGCCACCGAACUUUGUGCAUUGGUCGAAAACAAGAAUGUGUUCCUCCCUAGGUCAACGAUGACGCAAUCCAAACUCAAAAAACGUAAUAGGUUACUAUUCCAGACUAUUAGGAACAAAACCCAAAAAAAUCCUUUGAGUCAAACGUGGCUUUGAUACCAUGUAAAUUGCAAAGAAAGAAAAUGAAUUUCUGUAUAUUUAUUCAUAACAUAAACAUCUCUAUUUAUACAUGCUAUGCUAGUCUAUCUAAGGUAAGUCUCCUAUAUUUACAUCCUAUAAUCAAGCCUAUAAUCAAUACAUAAAUAAGGUAAGUCAACUUAUUGAUUCUGAUUCUGUAACAUAAUGGAACUGUAGCUCCGUUGGCUUUUAGUUGAUGCAGAUUGCCAGUACUAUUUGUUGCAAUUAGAAUUACCUGGAAAUUGAGAACACUAUUGUAAAAUACCAAAAUUACAUGAAUAUUGGUUAAAUAAUAAAAACAUACAUUAUUAUUGUAUGCUUAGUUUAUGUUGUUUGUGUGCAUAUCAUUCUCUUUAAACAAAUUGUCGGGUUACAACAAUAUGUUCGAAAAUAGAUCAUCCAAACGAGAGUUCUUAAGAUAAGUUAAUUGUGGAAUGUGAUGACAAAUAUUAUGAAAGAUUUUAUUUGCUCUCACUAAAUAUGAAUUGACUUUUGAUAAGAUGAUCAAAACUUGAUUCAAUGAUUAGUAUUGUAUAAUAUACUAAUAUAUUAUUAUCUUAUUUGUUAAAACUCACGUGCAACCCUAUAGAAGCUGGCUCAUGAGACAAAAUCAUGACUAAGCUUUAAUACAAAUGUAACUAUGUAAGUAACUAGGGACAUUACCCAUAAGAAGAAAUUAGCAUGAUAUACAUAAUUGUUCAUUACCAAGGUUUUAAGCAUGUGGGUGAUCACAUAAUAAGUUAUAAAUAAAGUAAAGUCGUGUCACUCACAUCAUAUAAUUAGCUUAACUAUCACAUCACAUAAUUAGUUUAACAACUGUCAUGUCUUUAUUCCAUUGGACAUUCUCUUCUCCAAAGAGAAGUACUCCGAUACGUCUUCCUUUAAUUUUCUCUCUUCCUAAUGAUGAAAUUUGAAAUCAUGUUGAUAAAAAUAGAAAGGAAGAAAGGGAUUCUUCUAUCUAUAAUCCAGCUAGAAUAUUGAAGUAAAAGUUUUGUGCAAUGUGGGUCAAAUUGAGCAUGUGCUAGAGGUGAUACACGUUAUAUACCCCCAUGAAUUCAAGUUUAAGUUUCCCUUCCAACCAAUUUCAUUAAGAAUAGUUAUAUUCAAGUAGUGGAAUAUUGGAAGUACAUUCAAUAUUUUCAAAUAUUAUAUAAUUAAACAUGUGAAAUAUUAUUAAAAUAUGCACUAGGUAGUGGCAUAUGUGCAUUUCAAUUUUUCAAUAAUAUUUAUAUGAUUGAUAUAUGCUAUGCUCAUUAUCGUGAUUGCUUAGUAAAACAUGUUAUAACUAAAAAUAAUUUACAGAUCAAAAUUACUGGCUACACGUGGAUGUAGAAACACUAAGCUUCUAAUUUUCUUUCUUUGGAAUCAAUCGGUUUCUUCUUAUGGGCCAGAUAUUCAGUGUUUCGUGAGUAGUCUGAUGAAUUGAAGCUACCGAGAAAAAACAAAACGUUUUUCCCACAUAUUUCAGUAUAAAAACCCAUCUCCUAUCAAUAUUGCUUCACCACUUCCUCUUCCCUACCCAGUUCUUCACAGCUUCUCUUCAUUCAUGGCCAUGAAGCUGCUAAAACUCCUCUUCAUACUCUCCAUCACCACCUCCAUUGUUUCUGCAGCAUCGAGUGCCAAUGAAAACAACGAAUGCAACUCCAUUGUUGGAGCAGCAUGGAGUGCUGAUGAAAACAAGGAAGACUCAGCUGUGGAAAGCCACUUAGCAUUGGAGAAAAUAUAUAUAUUUAAAUAAAUUUAAAUAUUUUUGUAAGAAUUAGUCAUAAUUUUCAUUGUUUAAAUAAAUUUAACUCUCUUAUGUUUUUUAACUCUCUAUGUAACGCUUAGACAACUCAAGGUUAUAUAAGUACAAAUCUAUAAUUAUUAUAUAUAUGCUUACAUUUACGGCAGACUCAAGCUAUCUAUGCAUGCAACUAGGAAUGGCAACGAGGCGGGUUCGGGACGGGUCGCCCCCAUCCCAACCCCAUCCCGUUUAGCAAAACCAAUUCUCAUCCCCGUCCCGUUUAAAAAAUUAAACGGGGCGGGGCGGGUAUGGGAAUUUAGCCUUUUUUUUUUUUUAAUUACUUUAAAAAAUUUUAAUUACAUUAAAAUAAAUAUAUUUUAUAAAUAAUAAAAUUAUUAUAUUUUUUAUAACUUAUUUUAUUAAAAUUUUUUAUUGUUAUCUAUAUAUUAAAAAUAGUAAAAUUAAAUUUUAAAUUAAAUUAAUUUUAAAAUUAAAUUAAAUUAAAAUUUAAAAUUAAUUUUAUAUGUAAACGGGGCAGGGCGGGGCGGGAUGAGGCAAUACCCGAACCUGCCCCGAACACGUCCCGGGUUUUAAAAAAAAAUCUCAUACCCGUCCCAAACCCGUUUAAUAAAUUUUAACCCCGUCCCAUUAAGGGCGGGGCGGGGCAGGCACCCGAAAAAACCUGCCCUGUUGCCAUCCCUACAUGCAACCGUCCAACACCAAAAUAUCUAACCACUGCCACGAAUGUUUGAUAGUGAUUAUGCAUAUUUGCACGUCCAUACCCAGACUAAAUCAAGGAUUUUGCUGGUUAUAUCAGUGAGAAAUGUACUGAAUUGAAUUUUAUUAUCAAUGGAGAUGAGGUAUGAGCACCUUAAUAGGCAUGAUACAUAGUGAUCAAUCCUGUUAUUCACCUAAUAUGAGAAGUAAUACAAGUCAUUUAUGAAUCAAUAAAACACUCAAGCUUAGUAGCAGGUUUUGUAGCGAUAAAAUCAUGCAUAACUGCACAUCCCGUAAAGACAUGCCUCCCAGUUCUUGCACUUCUUGCCGCAACUACCGCAGUUCAAUGGAUCGACAUAGGGGUUCACGCAAUGCCCGCUGCAGCAUAUAUAGUUGUGUCUGCACUUGCGGCGGCACUCUCCACAGUUAUUUGGAUCCUUCGUUAGGUUUACGCAUUUCUUCUGACAGCAAUCUGGACCAGGGGUGGACUUCCGACGACAAAUCUGUGGAAACUUAUCACAGAUCAAGUACUUGUUCUGCAACAUGAAGUCACUAGUCCCAUUUGAAGAAGUUGUUUCUUCGCCUUCAGGCAAUGCUAAGUGGCUUUCCACAGCUGAGUCUUCCUUGUUUUCAUCAGCACUCCAUGCUGCUCCAAGAAUGGAGUUGUCUUCGUUGUUUUCAUUGGCACUCGAUGCUGCAGAAACAAUGGAGGUGGUGAUGGAGAGUAUGAAGAGGAGUUUUAGCAGCUUCAUGGCCAUGAAUGAAGAGAAGCUGUGAAGAGCUGGGUAGGGAAGAGGAA
rnacentral:lncRNA from 1 species